GCUUUUUUUUUUUUUUUUUUGGGGUGUUUUACAACAAUUUUUUUAAUGGUUUUGGUUGGGAUUAGCCACUAGCCAGGAUAAUUACGCGAGCUUAGCACAAUUGUGUGAGUUUUGGCCUUCAUUUGGAGAUAAAUUUCCGAGCACUAGUUUAAAUUCUCAAAGAGAUUAGGAAAUAGAAACUAUGAUUUUGUUCAAGUGGAAGUUGGGAUAACCGUUUUAUGUUUUUGAUUAGGCAAAUGGUCCUUUUCAAUUUAGGUUCUAGAACACAAGACGAAAUCUGUGGCUAGUACAGGGUAAUUACGGUUUGCUUUGGAGCAUAUCAGCAGAUGAUCCAUUGUUUAUACUUGACCGAUGGUCGUUGGGAUGCAAAAGCCUAAACCGUUUCUUGUUUUGAGUUUUGACUGGUAGGUUUUGCUAUUGUGACCCAGAUAAACCAACUUAAUCAAUACUCAUAUAAAUAAAAAUUAUGAGUCAAUUGAUGAUGCUAGAUUAUUUGCAUUAGAAUUUCGAAAUUGGCUACAUCCCUAAGUCUCCUUGAUCGUAUGCUUCGUCCCUUAGGAACUGACGUAAGUGUCAAGUUUGGAAUACUAAUAUGCCAGGUAUUUCUAGAGAAUAGAGAGAGUUAAUGCUAAUCUGAUUAGAAGAAAUGUGGCAAAAAAAAGAAAAAAAAAAAAACCAACGAAUUGAAUUGAAGGAAGACAUGGGGUUUGUUUGGACAGUAGAUUAUUUGGUCAACUAUAUUUGCUGACGUCAUCAUUACAAUUUUCAAUACAGCUUUUUAUCUUUCUAAUUAUCUUUUUAUCUCACAUACAUCACAUCAGAAAAAAUGCUACUGUAAUUAUUCCAAAUAAUAUUUCAAAUAAUAUCCUAUCCAAACAAAUAUAAAUUCUAAAUGUUUGGAUAGGAGAUUAUUUGGGAUAAUUUUUUAAAGAAAAUACUGUAACACUUUUUUGAUGUGAUAUACGUGAGAUAAAAAGAUGAUUAAAAAAUAAGUUGAUGACACAAAUAAAUCAAUGGAUAUAAAUAAGGUGUCAAUAAAGUGCAAUCAAAAACACAGUAGUGUGUGUUUUUCCUUAUAUUCUAUUGAAUUCAAGUUUGUAGCUAUUAUUUAUUGUUUGAAACUGAAUGCCUGUACAUAGGGUAGGAAGAAGAAUAAAGCUAAUGCAGGAAUUUCAUACCUUCGGCUCAAAAAAAGGGAAAAAAAGAAGUAGGUUUUUCUUCACAAAAUCCUUCAUAAUUUUUUCUCAAAUUGUCGAAUUUAAAGAUUAAAUUCUUACUAAAAUAGCAAGAAGAAGGACAAUUUUGUUCAAAUUUAAAGAUUAGAUACUUUGCAAGCUUUAAAUCCUCCUUCUUCAGCCAAAGGAAAUAUAGAUGGAAAACGAAAAAAUAGAAUUAGGUAUGUGUUAGUUAAAUGGGUUUUAAAUGGAUAAUUAGAUAUCCAUCAUCCAUUUGGAUGCGGACAACCAUUUAUUAUAUAUUGCAUCAUUUAAUCCACGAUCUAUUUACAUAAAAUCAAUUAUCAUCCAUAUAUCAUUCAAUUAUUUGACAAAAAUAACCUCAAGAUGCUCAGUUAAUUGCUAAAAACCGGGCAGAACAUGGAUGGAUUUUAUGCAUGUAUGCUCUAAUAAUCCUCUUCUCUUAUGUAAUUAACAUAUUUAAAAAUCUCCCACAACAUUCAAUAAGAAUGGGGCAAAACCAAAAUAAAUGGUUAAUCAUAGAAGGGGCACUAAAGAGCAGACAGCAAGCAACAAAGCAUUAAAAAAAUGGUGGCUAGAUUAGAGGGACACACAGAGGUCUAGCAAACAAAAACCAUAGCCUUUGCAAGAACUCACCAAAAAACCAGUAGAGGUAUAAUAACGCCCACUGUUUAACUAUUUAUCAGGCCGUCUGCUCUUUUAAAACUCACAUUCAAAGCCUAAGUUCUUUCUGAACCAAACCAAAUCAUGGCAGCUAGGUUUGUACAUUUUUUGAAGAGAUCUCCUCAAACUAAAAGUUUUAUCGACAACAUCUCCUCAGUCAUAGUCAUUUUGUUAUGAGUGAAAUCUCAAUUGAGAAGAGAGCAAGCAAAAAUUUUGUUGCUCCAAGAUGGAGAGAGUCAGAUGUAUCAUGCAGUAGAUGAGGUCAUCAGCAAUAUAAAGGAGAUAAGCAAAGCCUAACGAUGGGUACUAGAGAUGAGAGAAGAAGGCUUUCGGGGCUGCCAAUGAAGGCUAGGAGCUAAAGAAUGUGGAGAAUGACUUUAGUAGUAGUAGUCUAAGUAACUUUAGCAUUAGUUCUGUAGUAAAAAGACAUAAAUUUUAAACCCAAAUAUAUAUAUAUAUAUAUAUAUAUAUCAGCCAUCCCACCACCCAAAAAAAAGUAUAGAAUCUUGAGACGUUUUUUGUUAAUAAAAAUGUCAUUUAGUAUUUCUAAAUCUUUUUUUAUCUUAGGAAAAUUGUAACAAUGUAGAUGUAGAAUUAAUUUAUGGAACUAGUUAGAAGUUAGAAGUAUGAAUUUUACAAAAUACAAUCAGUAGUAUGUUUUGAGGGUGUUUGACAUCUUACCUUUUGCCCAUGCUUCUUGUUAUUAGUGGUUAUGAAGCAAACCAAAACAAUAGUAGUAUAAGUAGUUUUUUUUUUUUUCUACUAGAGCCUUAUAUGUUUUGUUGUUAGCAUGCAGACUUUCUCUCUGAGAUACUAUUUGAUUUACCAGAACAAUUUUAUAGUUGGCAAUAGUACUAGAGAAUGGAAAAAAGUCUAUCCGAAUUUUCACCUGACUUUAUAAAUUUGCAUGAAGUUGCUCAUUGAGCAAUAUCAAAUUGGAAGUCACACUAAUUAGGUACAAAAUAGCGUAAAAAUUGAUAAGACUGUAAAUUUUUUGAAAGCUAAAUUGAAAUUUGGCAACCUUUUUGCUUUUUCCCCUACAAUUUAUAUCUAACUUUGAUUGGGAUCUUUUUCUUCCUUUCUAUAAGCUUACAACUAAUUACACCCAAGGGUGGGGUGGAGCCAGUGCGAACUGCUCCUGCUAUGGUAGUAUAUAUCAACAAAGGUCCUUCCCAGCUAAAACAUUGUUUUUCAAAGGGGCAAACAAACAAAAGUCCAAGAUAAAGCCUACGCAAUAAUAGGUUCAUUAGCUUCAAAACAACAAAGAGCAAGAAAGAACCAACACAUCGGCUUUGUGGGGGGUCUUCACCGCUUAGUAGCAGCGGGUCGAAUGGGCUUGGCCCCUGUCGGGGUUUCUAUCCCACAUCGGCUUUGGGGGGGUUGGGAUUUGGGUAGUUAAGUCCCUGGGAGCAAUCCAAGAAUUGCCGACUUUUGGAUUGACUUCUGGGAUUAGGUUUAAUUGUUCAAAUGUCGUUUCUCGAAAGAAAAAAGAACCAACACACCAAGCAAAGGCAGGAAAAAUGAAGAAAUAAAGCAACCAAGACCAAGAGGGCUAAAAAUGCUGGACUCAUUCUCUAAUAAGUACUAUACUACUACAAUAGUAUGGUAUAAACUGAAUAGUGAUUACCAUGGAGAUUAUUAAGCAGUUAAGAAUUACGUAUUUUUUAAUACCUAACAACUAUACUAAGCGCCUUUGUUACAUCCAAAAAAUUGGUAAAGUUAUUGUGGCCUGUAAAUGCACUAACAGUUUGGGCCCAAAGCAAAGCCUGCAGAUCUGGAUGGUUGCCUUGUUUCUAGCUCUUAUUUCAAUCCAGUUUGGAUAUCUUCCAUCGAUUAAUACUUGUUGGGCUUAAAAAUCUUUUCCAAUCGAUUCUAGAUUUAUUAGUUCCUUUAAUAGAUAUGGUGGGUUGUUAUCGGGGAUUAAUAAAUAGUAGUAGUAGAUAACUUUAUGGAUUAAUUAAAGAGAAGGUGCUCGUGCUGAACUAAAAGUCUAAAACCGGAGAAGUCUAAUUGAGCUCGACUUUUGGCCCUUUCUUAAUUGAGUUCACCUACCCUGAAGUCUUUGGAAAUCUCUACGCAAUAGAUAAAUACAUUUUUUUUAAAAAAAAAUCUCUCUAAGAUUAAUACAAAAUUUCUAUUCAAGCACAAGGAGCUUUUGACCAAAAUGUUCAAAUACAUACCUGACCUCACUUGAUUAUCUACUUUUUUUUUUUAAUCGAAAUCGAUAAAUAACCCACACACACACCCACCUAAUUUAAACAAACGCAGGAAUUAAUCGAAGAACAGCCCGAAAGCAAUUUAAGGGGAAUCCACAAAGAACCACUAUUCAGCCAAUUGGUAACUGAACAGGGUUCCUGUGGACCUUAAAUCCAGAGUAAAGACCCCACGAUCUUUCGAUGUGGGAUAGGAUGCCCUAGCCCCCGCGAACACUCUCACCAACUGAAUGGUUUGUUUGUUUUCUAUACUUGAUUAUCUACUUCAGUUAGCCUAAACUUGACUUCAAGAAUAAAAGCUUAUUAUAUUCGGUGAAUUAUUAAAGAUUUGACUCAUCCAUCCAAAUUCCAACUUCCAUUCGCUUGCAAAUUGCAAUGCAACCUUUUUAUAUGAUGAUAAACUAAUCUAAACCCUGUACAUGACAAACCAAUUUUUCAGGAAAACCACUGAAAAGAAAGGUCCUAUCAUUUUGCCUAUUUUGACCCUUUCAUGUUCUCCACUUCUCAUCCCACUACUCUCUUUUCUAUAUUUCCAAUGGAAUUGCUAAUAUGCAUGAAAUGAAUUGGCAAAGACAAGCCCAUCGGGGUUGACUCGUAAGGUGGUGUGUUCGAGUCGCCUCUCUUACCGUCUUGUAUAUCUUGGAAGCAGGGUGCACACGCGUAGAGAGAUUAAUCGAUAAAAAAAUCGAGAUAUUUUCUGUGUCGAAAAAAAAGUUGACAAAGACAAAAGCUAUGAUAAACUAAUCUAAACUUAUCAUUUUGCGCAUUGUACAUGAUCUUUAAGAAGUUUGUUACUACUUUUAAAUACUACUAGAUAGACUAGUAGGUCACUAGAACUGGAGUAAGAUCUUUACAUAAAUGUCAAAAAAAAUUGCAUUGGAAAAUUGGAAGAAAUACUAACGUACUAACUAGGGGUGUAAUCGAGCCGAGUCGAGCUCGAGUAUUGCUAUACUCGAGCUCGACUCGACUCAUAUACACCAAAGCUCGAGCUCGACUCGAGCUCGAGCGAGCCCAAAAAAUCGAUACUCGAGACUCGACUCGAAAAAUUUUCUUGACUCGAUACUCGAGGCUCGAAAAUUUUUUUCAUUUUAGGUCUUUUUACAAUUAUGUUAUUACUUUUUUGCCAUUAUAGGAUUUUAUUAUAAAGAAGGAUAUAUUGUAAAUUUCAUAUAACUUAUACCCAUAAUGGUCAUUUUAUAAUUAUAAUACAUAUAUAUUAUUUAAAUUAUAAAUAUAUUAUUUAAAUAACUCCGGCUCGUCGAGCUACUCGACUCGACUCGAGCUGGGCUAUUUCGACUCGAAACUCGACUCGAUUUUCAUUCGAGUUACUCGAAACUCGGCUCGAACUCGGUCAACCCGAGUUCGAGCCGAGUCGUUGACCGAGCUACUCGCGAGUAGCUCGGCUCGCGUACAUCCCUAGUACUAACCAACCGUGGCGUAGGCGUAGAGGAAAAAUCUUUCAAUACCACACGUUUAUUCAAGAACAAGAAUCAAGGGUUAUGUUACCUGUGUAAAGCGCGGACCUAUGUGGCCGCCCCUUGAAAAUUCGGCUUCAAAUCCUCUGUCCCUAAAGUAGUUUUUGUCCCCUCUAUCCCUUAUUUGUACAGUUGCCACCUGUCUCUAGGCUUUUGUUACUCAAGUUUACUCAAGUUAGCCUUUUGAUAAUAAUCGGUUGAUAAGUUUACUUAAAAUCAAUUAAAACAGAUAAUUCAAAACUUUUUUUUUUAUUUUCUUUUUAACAAAAAAGAGUCUUAUUGAUCAUAAACAUAGAAAUCAACUAAAACUUUUCUUUAUUUUGUUUGAGUUUGGGAUUAACAAAACUUGUAAAUCAAUUAUUAUCGGUUUAUUUGAGUUCGGAUUAACAAAAGGUUAGAAACACGUGGCAGCUGUACAAAUAAGGGACAUAGGGGACAGAGACUACUUUGGGGACAGAGAAUUUGAAACCUGAAAAUUCACCCAAAAAAAAAAGGGAAAAUCGUCCAAAACGUCUUUCACAUUUUGUAAAAUGAUUUUUUUUGUCCCUCACUUUUAAAAGUAUAAUUUUAUGUCCCUUACAUAUUCACAUCGGUCAAAUUUAGUCCCUAACUAGGUUUCCGAUCAUUUUUUGGCCGGAAUCUAUCACGUGCAAGGCACGUGAUCAUUUUUUAAGGGUAAAUUUGUCAAAUUAUAUUUUACAUAAUCUGAUCUAUAGUCCUCCACAUUUUAUAAAAUAAAUUUUUUCGUCCCUCAAAUUUUAUAAAAUGAUUUUUUUCAUCUCUCACAUUUCACAAAAUGAAUUUCUCCAUUCCUCACAUUUCAAAAAAUGAAUUUUUCAUUUCUCACUAAUUAUGUGUUUGAAUACAUUUUUUUUAAACAUAUGUAUAUAUCUAUUUAAUUUUACUUAAUAAUAAUAGCAUAAACACAUGUAUGUAAUUGGGCCCAACUUGUGGGCUAUCUUCUUUUUUUGUAUGAUUAUGACUAAUAUUUAUCAAUAGAACCUUAAUUUGCUUUUUCUUAUUGUAUUUUGACCGAAAAUAGCUUUAUUGGCCAAAUUGACAAUGAAUGCAAGAUUUUUUACUAGCUAAUACCAGAUGAAAUCAAAUGAUCACGUAUAAUAUAUGGUAUUCGUAUUGUUAAAUGAAAUCAAAUAGACACAUACAUAUAUUUAUGCUAUUCGUAUUAUUAAGCAAAAUCAAAUAGACAUAUACAUGUGUUUAAACAAAAUGUAUUCACACACAUUUUUUUUAAGGGUUUCCCUCACACACAUAAUUAGUGAGGGAUGGAGAAAUUCAUUUUAUGAAAUGUGAGAGACGAAAAAAUUAUUUUAUAAAAUGUGAGGGACGAAAAAAUUUGUUUUAUAAAAUGUGGAGGACUAUAGAUUAGAUUAUGUAAAAUAUAAUUUGACAAAUUUACCCUUCAAAAAUGAUCACGUGCCUUGCACGUGAUUGAAUCCGGCCAAAAAAUGAUCGAAAACCUAGUUAGGGACUAAAUUUGACCGAUGUGAAUAUGUAAGGGAUAUAAAAUUACACUUUUAAAAGUGAGGGAUGAAAAAAGUCAUUUUACUAAAUGUGGGGGACGUUUUGGACGAUUUUUCCAAAAAAAAAAAGACAAAAUAAAUACUAUUCCCUUCCCUUCCCUCCUCCCAUUGCCCGGGAAAAUCUUCGCUGCCCAAAAUCCCUAACCCUAGCUGAAAAUUUACUCCCGUUUCUCAAACCCUCAUUCAAUUUCCCGAUGGAAAUCUCUGUCAUCUCCGAUGCAUUAACGUCAGUGGCCUCAACCCAAGGUUUAAGCUUAGGGGUUUCAAAGCUCAACUUCUGUUCAAAUCAGUCUUCUGAACAAUCCGCCGGAAUUCUUCAAAUCUCCGCCAUGAUUUUUCCGCUCGAUGCUGUUGCACCACCGCCGGUGAAGUCGAAUCGGACAAGAACUUUACCGCGUAGACUGAUCAAGAAAAGGCGUCGUACCAGAAGAAGAUCUUCAACCGGUGAUGAUGAUAAUGAUGAUCGGGAAGAAGUUUUCGGGUUUUUUGGCGGCGACGGAGGAGUUUUUGAUGGGCCGUUUAAUAAUGGUGGCGGCGGCGGCGGCGGCGGCGGUAGUUGGAAUUUUGGUGGGUUUGGAGGGGCAAAUUGGGAAGGGUACUCAUCCAACUCGUAUAAUGAUCCAGCGUUCGAUUUUGUUUACGAGGUGUUGUCGUGGAUUGUUUUAUCGAAUUGUUUGCAUUUUGCGUUUAAGAAGGUUGUGAGGAUUGUGGCUGAUGUAUUUGGUGAUCCUGCUAGGGAGAAGGUCCCGAUGAGAUUGGAACCUGUUUGCUGAAUUGGUAAAAGAAAUUGACUCCCCGAAGCAAAGAUAAACUCUUUACUCUGAUACACAUAAUUUAGGAUUUGAUUAUAUGUUCUUCGGGAAAAAAAUUAUGUAAAUAAGUGGACAGUACAUUUAGGACUAUGCUUCUUAAGUUCGCAAUUGCAUUUACCUUUUUAUUGUUUAUCAGCGUAAAUAAUGUAAAUAUUCAUCGAUGGAUGUCUGACUGAUUUUGAAUUUGCUUUACUCUAUAUGAUUCUUCUAUCCACGGACUGAUAUAGUUGCGUUACAUGGAUUGCGUGUUGGUGAUACUUCUGUUAUACGUUCUGUGAUGAUUGUUGUGGAGAUGUGUUCCCCUUCCAUCAUACAAGUCUGUGAGCAAAGAUUUGAGUUGUCUUGACAAAUAAAUAAAAGUGUAAGCUGGAGAUUUUUUAUGCUACUUGACUUACAAUGCUGGAUAUGGUAAGGGUAGCACAAUCAAUUACUCCUAAAAUUUUUUUUGCUCUUGCAUUUUGAAGAUUUGCUUGGCCUUAAAGAUGUAUCUUUUUCUUUGUGAUUCUUGAUUAUCGUAGACUUUACAUCUCCCCUUCAAAAAUGAUUCCCCUCCCUAUAUCUGCCUUUCAAUGUGGUCUACGUAGUGUAUUCUGGGUCAUCUGGUGAAUGGCAAGAUCGAGUCUUUGAGCAUGGUAUGUUGCUGUAUUGUUGUUUGGGAGUUCAUAGGAUAGUUAUUACUUCCAUGUGAAAGUGUCUGAAGCCUGUGAUCACCUGUUUCAUUUCUGGUUUACCAACAACAAAUAUUUUGUAACUAAUGAGAGCCAAAGAGGCUGUAUUUCUUUCUGGUUUGAGGGGGCUAGAAAUGUUGUAACUAGUAAGAUUCAAAAGGAGCAUUUGGUGGUUUUAUCUUCUUCAGAAGUAAGAAACCAGUAAUUAGCUUGGCCCCUCUGGGUAGUCAAAUCUCCUAUUACUGCCAGAAAUUACGAACUUUCUUUUGAUGUCCCUGCCCUUAACUUGUUAUGUUUAAGAUCUUACGACAAUGAAGUUAGUGAAUAUCGAUCAUAUGCCUUGUGAAGUGCUAUAUUUACAUUAUCUUGCAAAGGAACAUCCAAUGGUCUCUCUUUUACUGACUUAGAGGCCUUGAAUACCCUAAUAAUUGGGAUUUGUCUAGGGCAAAUUUCAGGUUCUUUAUUUUAUUUGAAGUCAGGCUGAUUGAUAGAAGCAUGAGUGCCUUUCUUUUGGGGGUUUUGUUCACGGCCUCUGAACCAAUUUAGUAUGAUUGCAAUUUUUUUUCUUCUUUUGGUGCUUGUCCUUGCAUUGACUGUUGAGUCAACUGGCUACCUCCUCGUGUAAUUUCUCUAGCACAAUCGCUGUUGCAAUUUUUUGUAGUUUCUUUAGUACUAUUUUACUAUUAAAAUUAAGACUAACAGAAGGUUUGGAGGCAUGUGCCUCAAAGACUGUUUGUUCCCCAGCAGGUUGGCUGGUAAAUUCUUGACAUGCCGCUCUCAUGCAAUGGACCUAACUUAUGUACGACUUCAUAUCACACUUUUCUACUUUCUACGCCUUUUAUCUUUUACAUAGGAGAGAAGUAUCAGAUGAUGAUGGGGGAACUAGGCAGCAAACUGUCAAGGAACAAAGAUGGCAGUUUGAAAAAGCCCCACGCAUAUGUCCCAUUAAGAUUUGAAGUGACACAAUCAGCACUUGGUUCAUGCAUCUUCUUAGUCACUUUCGAUCGACUGAUUAUUCCUAGUAAUUACAAUUACACAUAAAACACUUGAUAAAUUAUUUUUAAUACCCCGAGUCUCUAUCUGCCGACGUACGGCUGUCUGUCUGUGGUUUAUUCUUUUUUCUUCUUCUUGGAUAUCGAUCUUUCUCACUACUUUGUGUCUCUUCUAUCUCCUGUUCCAGUAAUAUUCGAUUUUGAACUGCUAGAUGUGGCAGUAAACAUCAUGGCAUUGUUCAUCUGUUUCGUAGAAAAGGGGAAAAGAUGUUACCGGAAAUGUGCAGAAAAUUUCAAAGAGUGCCCAAAUAGUUGUUGGUCCCAUUCAGCGUUUACUCCUCCUUUCCGGAGCAUUUUCCUGGGUAACUUCCCAAGUACCUUGUAGGUGAUACGGCUGCUCUAUACAUAAUAAUAGCUCUACCCUUUAAUACCCGAACAUAAAAGUCCUGUGCAUUAAUUUCCAAAAUAAACAGGCAUAGGAUGGCCUUAUGCAUGAAAAUUCUUCUUCAAAUUGCGUAAGAUGGAAUUUCAAGAAUGCAGAUGAUUAUCCAGCUGAAAACAAACUCUGUCGUACUUUAAUUUGAUCGCCGAAGUAUUUUGCGAUUUUUUUCUGUUAAAAUCAAGUAGUAAAUUGCACUAACUUGUGUGAUAUAAACUGAAAAGUGAAAUUCCAAAAGUUUAAGGACAUUUUUGUCCCCAGCACACCACCCUAGGUAACUUGCCAAACAAUUUGUCUUUUUACGAGAAAAGACCAUUCCAAACUGGUAUCAAGCACCUUUUGUUUUCGAAACAAACGAGUAAACAUGAAAACCCAUUCGGGACUCCUAUCAAAUUAGCGAUCGAUGCACGCUUGAUGCGUGUGUAAUGAAUGUAGAAUCCUUCGUUUGAGAUAACGAAUGUAGAAUCCUUCAUUUGACAACAAAAUUUAAAAGUAGUAAAUUUAAAAAGUUAUUGCAACAAAAUAUGAUAACAAUCAAACAAAAAAAUUAAAAGAAGCAAUCACAUGCAGUGAUUGAUUAAUGAAUCUUUUAAGAAGUGGAAAUUUUUGUUCUAAAUGUACUCUUAUAUUGAGAUGGAACUCCACAAUCAUCUAGAGGAUAGUAUUGUAUUCAACAAUUGAAAAGCAUCAAAAUCUUAUGGCAAGAGAUAGAAAAAAAAAGUUCCGUACAAAGGAGAUGGAGAAGAAGUUAUUUAUGUGAUUUUGAUUUGUAGUUCGGUGGUGGGGGUAUUUCAUCGUGUGAUGUUAGUGGUUCGUUAGAGUGGGAUUAGUGAUGAUGAGUAGCUAUUUUCUUGAUAAAGGUAAUACGUACGUAAGAGAGAGGCGAGUUGAGUUGAGUUGGAUAAUAAAGAAAGAGAGAUUUUUAGUAAAAGAUUCUGAAUCCAAAAUCUCUCACUUAAAAAAAUAAAAAGAGAAUAAAUACAUGUCACAAGACUAAUCUAAUUUUCAAAUGGUUCAAAUCAACUCUGUAUUUCAAUGUAGGCUCCGUAUGUCUUGACUUGGAGGUGGUUCAGUAUUUUCCGAGUCUUCAAUAACAACGUAGUUGGGUCUAUGUUUUCUUCUUAUUAUAGGAAUAGUCGUAAGCAAAUAUUAUUGUUUGUCAAAAAAAGAAAAAAAAAACAGAGAAAACACCUGUAUGUGCAACGUUUUCCCGUCAUAGAAUGUAGAAUAGUCAAUGUUCUAAAUGCACGGACUACCGAAUCCAGCCACAGUAAAAGUUAGUGUGCACUAUACAGUUGACCCCUUAAUUAUUGAGGUCUGAAUCCUUCUCUCUACCAGAAGAAAGGGUUCACGAGACAAUCUAAGAUUUGACGUUUCUUGGGUGUUUUUUGUUCUCUUGUCUCCGUAGCAUUUGCGAAAUUUGGUUGAAAGAUUUGAAGACGUGCAGGCUGCAGCUUAGAAAGGAGACAUUUUGGCCAUUAUCCGACGUGAAAAAACAAUGCAGACAAAAAUCACAUUUGUAUUGAUCCGCUCGGUGCUCUUUUCAGCGUUUCCCCUUGACAAAUGACUCACUGAAUUUGCGUGUAAAGGGGUUCCAGUCUUACAAUUUUAGAAGGGAUUCCAAUCACAAAGGUGCCCCAUAAGUAAGGAUUAUUUAGGUAGAAGUCCUUUCUUUAUACAGUCAUCACUACACUAAUACGUAUGACUUAAGUACAUGUGAACUCCACUACUAAUUACGCAGGUCAAUUGGAGCAAACAUUAGUUAAGAAAUGAGGCCCAAUGGGUGAUUCAAGAAAUCAGUAGUAUUACUACUAAUCCGUUUUAACUCCUAAUUUGGUAGGCGUCAACCAAGCACAAGUAGUGGUGUAUUAAUUGUAGUAAACGGGUUGAUAUUAAGGGUCUGUUUGGUUGGAAGUAAAAUGUUUUUCUUGGGAAAAUAUUUUCCGUGGAAGUAAUUUUCCAUGAAAAUCAUUUUCCUUUCAUCAUUUUCAGGUGUUUGGUUAGUUUAUUGAAAAUAUUUUCUUACUCAUUUUUCUGGUGCUUGUUUAACUUUUGAAAUAUUUUCACUUUUAUCUCUAUCUUUACUUUCUACACAUUAUAACUACAUACUUCUUCCCAUGCAAAAUAAGAAAAUUUAUCUCAUUGUUUAACUUUAAAAAAUCUUGGAGAAAUGUAUAUAUGAAUAAAAAAUAUCUCCUUAAGCAAUAAACAAAUUGCUGGCCAUUUAGUGUCAAAUAUCAAUCACAUGCAAUGCUUAUUGUGACAUAUAUCUUGCACUCUCACUGCUGAAAGUUUCUCUAGAAAAGAAUGUCCCUAUUAUACAUAAUUAAUUACUAGCAUAUGAUGAGCAGGAUGAGAUUUUUUUUUUAUUUUGAAUAUACUAGGGGGAGGGUUGGGUGGUACGGGGGAGGGAGUGUAAGGAAGAGGUCUUGGGUUCGAGUCCUCCUGUUUACACUAAAAAAAAAAAAAGAACAUACUACAAGAUGUUUUCAGUAAGUUUGGAACAUACUACAGGCGGGAUGCAUGCAUUUUGGAAAACAACUUCAGUAAGUUUGGAAGGGAAGUUGUUUUCCAUAAGAUGAGUGAAAAUAUUUUACAUAGGAAAAUGUUUUCAGUAACUUUUGUGCAACCAAACACGGGAAAUUAGGAAAAUAUUUUCCUGGAAAACAUUUUCACCCGAAACAAACGGACCCUAAAAGGGAAUUCUUUCCUCAAAUAGUGACCUCAUCAUCCUCUGUGCCCCCCACUGGCAACAGCAGAAAUAAAUGAAUACUCGACGCCGUAGAAUAAAUUACUCCCUCCGUCCCAUUUUAUUAGUUUUGUUUUUUUUUUUUGUCUGUCCCAAAUUGUAAUCCACUUUCCCAUUAAGGAAUGUAGUAAUCUUUCAAAUUGUCUAAAAUACCCUUAUUAAAUAUCUUGUUAUUAAUACAUUGUUAUUAAAUACUAACCCACUACAUUGAAUACGUUGAGUUUUUCCAAUACAUAGAUAAAUGAAAAGUCUAUCUUUGUUAUUUAUUGGCACUGCUGGCGGUAAUUGAAACAAUCAGGGUGCACUAUUGGCGGUAACUGAUAUUUAUUGGCACCAUUAGCUGUAACGGAUAUUAAUUGGCACUCUUCGUGAUUAGCAUAAGGGUAUUUUAGGAAAUUAUUAAUCUAAAUUUAUGUUUCCAACCAAAUUAAUUACACUUUCUUAAUCAGUGUGAAAAAAAAAUCAAGACUAACAAAACGGGACGGAGGGAAUAUGUAAGAGCUGAGAGUGCUUAAUUACGAAAAGGUGUCUUGAUUGGAUGAAUGGAACAGCAUCAUUACCAAUCAGACAUUAUUAAUUAGCCAAAUGCAGAAUACGACACAAAUUUUUUGCAAUGAAGUAUUUCUUCUAAUCAUACCGUGAUAGUAACGUAGUAAUACUACCCUUGCUGGCUAAUUAAUUGAUGCCAAAGCAUUAUUAUUAUUAUUAUUAUUAUAGUGUACCAUGAUAUUGACACCAUCCACAGAAUGCAGUAAAAAUUAUCCCACAUCAGGCAGUAAAAGUCUGAAAGUACACGCAAAAGACAAAACAGGAGAGAAAAACACGCAGUUUCUAAUCUAGAUAGUCUAUGGUAAAAUUUCACUUAAUACAGCAGAUUAUUAGGCUGCUGGGCUGUAGCAACAAGAUCGUCCAUCAUCCAGAGAUCAACCGGGUCCGAUUCAGUGAUCCCACCAAACUGAGAUGUUGCUGUGGUGGUCGUCUCAGGUUCUAAGCCCAGGAAAGAUUCCAAGCUGGAAAAUUGAUCCCCAUACUGAUAAUCUUGAUCAGUCACUUGGGACGGAUAGUAAGGCUGGGGUUGGAAGCCAGGGUCCACUACUGGCGGGGUUGGUCCAAUUGACUCCAAGAUCUCCUGAUCAGGCUGAGGAUAAUAAGCCGGCGGUGGCUCAGGGGUGACACAACGCCGCUUGGCCAGUGGCUGCCGAGGUGGUGUCGGCUGUGAUGGGGUGGUUGGUGGCGGCUGAUCAUCAGCAACAAAGUUGAGUUUAGCCUUGUCGCCCCGGAUGCGCUUGGCUGCCUUGUCAUAAGCCCUGGCUGCUUCUUCAGCUGUGUUGAAUGUGCCGAGCCAAACUCUAACGCCCUUUUGUGGAUCGCGAAUCUCAGCUGCCCAUUUUCCCCAUGGCCUCUGUCUGAUCCCUCUGUACUUGUUCUUCCUAGGCUUCUGACUGAUCUUCUCAGACUUCUGAUUACCUGCUCCUACACUUCCAAAAAAAUCACUUCUUCUUGCUAAUACUACAUCAAUAAUCAUUCAAGUUAGACACCAUUAAUUCUUCAUUCCUGCUAGACACCAUUAAUCCCCAACCCUUUAUUUAUUUAUUUAUUUUUAGAGGGGGGAGGGGGAUUGGGGUGGUUGUUGUGUUGUAGCAUGAAAAAUUGAUCUACUAUGUACACGUACAUAUGUCAAUCUCAGAAUUACCUAUGCAUAAUACAUACAUGCAGCUACACCGUAUCAAAAUAUAUAGGUGGAUAUAAUAUAGUAAUACUUUGUACGUAUGGAUUUGUGAAAACCCUGAUGGAGUUGUUACGGUAAAGAAAUACUUAUUAGUAAAUAUGUUUAGAGCCAUCCUAAAUAGUAAAUACGCAGUCCCUAAGAAAGUAGAUAAUAAUAUAAUUGGAAACUAAAAGCCUAUUAUAUGUAAGCUUGCUGAAGUAUGCAUACAUACAUAUCAAAAUAUAGGAGCGUCCAAGUAUGCAGUAGAUGUAUUUACAUGUACGUAUGAAUCAUCAACAUAAAUCAUUUUCUGAGCGCGCAAUUAAUUAGGUCGUCAUACAACUAUUAUACUUUAUUAUUGGAGUAUUAUUAUUAUUUUUUUGGUAAUUUAUCCAAAAAUGGCAAAAAAGUACAUAAAGGUAGCAAGUGGUAGUAAUAAACCAAGAUGAAUGAUAGUAUCAGCAGAAAAUUCAAAGAUAUGUAAGCUAGUGGCAGUAGAUUGUGUUCAGGUAAUGGGGGGUGAGUGGACCGACCUUUCUUUGGGUGCUUGUUCUUGUCAGUGGCCUUGGUAUCUGCAGCCUGGCCAGAAGGGUCGAAGCCCCAGAAGGGAGAGAUGGUGUCAAACUCAGCCCACAGUUCUUUUGGGGUUAACUUCCGGCCGGGGUUGAUCGGAGACCCCCCGGAAAUGAUUGCACCUCCACACAUCUUUCUUUUUUUUUGUUGGUUGUUCUUGUUGUCUGGCAGAAGAAGAUGGUAGGAAAAAAGUUUUCAGAGAAAACUGAAGAGGAGGAGGAAAUGAAAUGAAAAAGGAGGAAUAAAUAGAGCAGAGAGAGAGAGAGAGAGAGAGAAGGAGAAGCGUUACGUAUUGAGGGUCUUAGUGUUGUGUUUUGUUACGUGAUUUUACGAAAGAGGGGACGGUUACGAAUCAAUAAUCAAAGGGAAAAUGACAAGUGAGGAGAGCUGAACCCAGACUUUGUUUUUAUUCGGAUUGUAUAUUUUAUUUAUAUACAUAUAUGGGAUCAAACGGUGGAGAGAGGGCCCAUCCAUUUGAUGUUGAUGAUGUGAUGUAACGUAACGGGGAAAUUUUCUUUUAUUUUUUUUUGUGGGUCCAGAUGAGAUGAGAUGUGUGAUGAAAUUAUGCACAUCAAAUCAGUAUUGAGAUUUUUGCAAGUUGGCAAGGAAAUUUGGGUAAAUUUGAGCUACCGUAUUUCGGUGCUCAAAACUCUGAUUUUCAUUCCGCUUACUUUAUUUUAAAUCUUGUUUAUAACUCUAAUUGAGUUCCAAAUUUCAAAGGCUGGUUCGCAAUGGGUGCGGUUUCUGCAAUUGGGCUAUUUUAAAAGAUAUACUGACAAAAUAAAUAAAUGUAAAUAUUAAUGCAUUAUAGCAUGUAAAAAAAAAAACAACAACUUUAGAAUUAUUUUGUUACAAUUAAUUUCAUCUUUCAAAUUUAUAUUGAGCACAUCUGGGUUAUUUUUUUUUUCAGACAAAAAACACAUCUGGAUUAUUAAUUGCAAUUGCUUUGCCUAUCGCAUAGAACCCAUCCUUGCAAGAGGGUGUGGGAUGUUGGUCCCAACCCUCCUUCCCGAUUUGGAUACGUCAAAUUAUGAGAGGUCUUUUUUAACAAUAAAAUUAGGAGAUUUUUUUCUGAAAUAAUAAAAAUGUGAUAUUAAAUGAGUUGAUUCCUGGUACAUAGUACUAAUACUAGUUUAUUUUCUUUGGAUUUUAGACCAUAUGAAAGAAAGCAUUGCCACUAUAAUAUAAAUAAUAAUCACAUCAGAAAAUUCUGCCCCCCAAAAAAAGGCAUUAAAAGAAAGAUGACAAUCGAAGAUUAUAUCCCAAAAAAGGAAAAAAAGAGUAGAGAUAUGUGUUUGGAUAGAGUGUUAUUUGAAAUAUUAUUUGGAAUAAUUACUGUAGCACUUUUUGUGAUGUGAUGUACGUGAGAUAAAAAGAUGAUUGAAAAUAUAAAAAAGUGAAUUGGAAAAUGUGUUUAUGAUACAAGCGAAAUAUUAUUUGGUAUAAUAUGAAUAUCCAAACAAACUCUCGAGUCGAAUAAUGUCGAAUAAUAUUGGAUAUCCAAAUCAAUAAUGUCGACAUAGUGGCACCAACCUAAAAGCCACACGCAGUCGAAGGCCCCAAAAAACUUGCUUUUGGGCUGACCCAUCUCGUUUUCCACAAAUAUUUUCUUGACACAUUUCUUAAUUACUUCACAUGCAUCACGGUAUAUUUUUUUUCCUCAAAAAACUUACAAUCCAAACGGGUUAUCAUCUAAUAAGCAUUAAUUAAAGUUUAAAUGGAUUUAGGAGACAAAUAAUGAAGUAUAUUAUGAUUUGUCCAUCAAUAAUUCCGUUUCUUUCUUGUCAAAAAAAAAUAAAAAUGCAUUAGUAGAACUCAGAAAACAGAUCAACAAGGCGCAUUUCUCUUAUCCCACCAAGGGCAAGGGCUAGUUUACUUCGGGAAAUAUAAUAAUAUGACAUCAACUGCAUGUAGCAGUGCCGCAAAAGGGCAAACUUCACGAGGCACAGCGCAUCAGACUAAAUGGCUUUUAGGGAGCGGGGGUUAGACUGCUGAGACUUGUCUCGAACAGAAAGAAACGCUUCUUUUGUUAUUGCCUCCCAACAUUUUCUAUGCCUUCUUCUGAAGAAACAGCCCAAAAGUUCCACAUCAUCCGUGGGAAACCGUUCCUUAAGAGGAGGCCAAGGUUAUGUCAUUCACAACCCUACAAGCUUCCAAUGCAAUAAUCUUCCCAAACAAAACAUAUGAUAUGAUAAUACCCAACAACUAUCACUCCAAUAAUUUCGUUGAUCUCUGAUUGCAUCUGGGGUCUGGCAAACUUAGCAUAAGCAGAAGACAAGAAUACGUUGUCGUGCCAUGCUCCAUAGGCAAAGCCCUGGGAGUUUUGAGGGGAAACUUAAGACCUGAUCCCUUGCUCACAAGUCACAAUAACACAACACUGUGAGGAUCUUAUACCAUCAAUUUACUCGGUCACCGUGGAAUUUAGUACUCACCCUUUCGUAUAAAACCUACAUGAAGAUAUCAAUGAAUGUAUAGCAUAAAUUUUCCAUGAAACAAUAUAAUAUUUUGUUCCUCAUUCAUCAUCUCAGCCUCAAUCUAAUGAAACAUGUGUGUUAUACAUGACUAUAAAAUAUCACCUAUAAUGGGUGUAGACCCAAUCAACCAAACAAAAGCAAUCUUUUAGCAGACUAACAUAUAUAAUCUCUCCAACAAAUCGCAUUAAGUGGGAAAUUAUCAAAUGUAAAGCGCAGUUGUACACCAAAGGCCACAGAGACAACAUCUGCAAGCUCGUCUAGUCAGCCAUUUUGGUUAACCGAUGAAUGGUACUUCUUGCAACCCUAUUACCAGGAUCAAUUCUCAUAACACUUCUGAGGUCUUCAGCUCCAAGCUUGUACUUCUCCAUACUCUCGUACAAAAGAGCACGUUGCACCAAGAUGUUCACAUUUUUGUCAUCUUGUUCUAGCGCCUGCACAAUCCAAUGGCCAAAAAGUCUCUUACUUGGAGUGAACCGCAAAAACUCCUCAGCACGAUAUUAAAAGAUCAAACAAGAACCAGCAUAUUUAUUCACCAGCCCCAAUUAAUAUUCAAAAAAAAAAAAACGAAAAAGAACAAACAGAAAGAUGCAUCAGUGUCCCGUGGAUUUUCAUUACCUUCCUGCAGAUGCUCCCAGAAAACACCACCUACAUUUUUGUCAGCAUAAACCAGGGGAAGAAGGAAUAGUAUCUUAAAUUACAGGUUUUCUCUAAGUGGCUAUGCCAACUGCAUACUAUUUCCAUAAACUGCAAAUACAGAUCUCGUGAAGGGACAUCAACUUAUACAGGAAGCACAAAGUGUAGAAAGAAAGGUUCAACAAAACUUUGACCUGGUCUGAAGCCUAUACCUAAGUAGCUUGCUCGUACAUCCCCUCCCCCCGCCCCCAAAAAAACCAAAGAAAAAAAACCCCGAAAAUCCCCAACAAAAGGUAUCAUGCAUAGAUGUAAACAGAAUGGAUCCACGCGGCUAGUUAGGCAAGGUGAUCUCAAUAGCAACAAUAAUAAUUAAUAAAUACAAAGGAAAGGGGCCUUAAAUAGUUUCCAUUUCAAUAAUGUGAGACACAAGGGUGUUAUAAUAGCAGUAUCGUUUUCCAAAGGCUCUCAAUGCCCCGUUCAAGCCCUUGACCAACCUCUAAACUGUUCACUAAAAGGUCUUGACUGUAGUUUGAUCCAUGCUGAUCAAGUAUGAAACUUUAAAUUUAGUCAUGGAAAGACCGACUAAAACUUCCUAGAAAAAUACCUGACAAGUCUCUUUAUAAAACAGUUUUCAUACUGUAGCAACUUGGGACUAAAUAUACAAUUCUUGAUCCAAUUAACUAGUCCUCCAAUAUAUCGGGGAGCUAGUCUAUGAAAGAGGGAUGGUUCAACUCUAACUUGCACAAGUAGUUUCUUUAGCAGUUGAAGUGCCAUGCCAACAUUUAAGUAUGUCACAGAAACAAGAGCUGCUACCCCUAUACUCACAUAAAAUAAAAAUUCUUGAAGUUAUCUGCCAGAUAAAACGCAAAAUUCACCAGUUACUUGACGAAGUUCAGUGCUCAGACUAGCUAUAUUUUGGGAAGGUGCAAUUACAGGGCUAGUUAUUUUGGCACAGCAAUUCAACCUGGAAAAGCACCGAAAAUCAUGAAAAAAUGAUUUUGAAGAAAAAUAAUAUACCUUUGUGCAAUCAGCUACAGCUUUCUUAUAUUCACCAACUUCUUUGUAACAUGCAGCUCUGCAUGUCAAGACGUCCAUGAUGCCAGUAUCAUCUCCAGCUUUCUCCAAAAGAACGACGGUCCAAGACAACCAUUUUAUGGCGUCAGCAAACUGGCCCUGCUUGUAAUUGUCUAAUCCCUUAUUUUUCGCAGUUGAAGCACUAACACCAGCAGGUGGGGGUGGAAGUCCUUCAAGUUCGGUUGUCCCACCUGUGUCAUGGCCAUUGAAGUCCGAUUCGAAUCCCCAGUCAUCGCGCCCAGAAGAAUCCUGGCUUUUAAAUUCAGCACCGCUGCCUGGAGUUGUCGUAAACAAUGCAUCAAAACUAUCAACACCAGUGGACUGACCAGAUGGUCGACUAUGAGGCUGACUACUAGGGAACCCAAAAUCAUCAAUAUUCGAAAAAGAACCUCCUGCACCUGGCCCAGCAGUAUUAUGGUUCCCCGAAGGAAAACUACUUGGCUGACUCUGGGACGGAGUACUAAAGAACCCAAAAUCGUCAACAUUCGAAUAAGAACCUCCUGCACCUGAUCCUGUCGAGUUGUUGUUUCCUGAGGUAAAACUACCUGAAGGAUGUGCAACUCCACUUGUUUUUGAAGCACUCUGAAAACUUUGAAAUGCAUCAUCUCCAACUUUACUACUAGCACUUCCUUUACUCUCUGACUUCAUAUUACCACUCGGUUUAGACGAAAAAUCAACUAAGGAACCAAACGGGUCCUUAUUUGAACCCAUCCCACCCAAUCCUCCACCUCCAGCCAUACUCUUCAUAGAAGGACCACCAAGAUUUGUUCCUUUACUAGCAUUCCCAUUCAAGUUAACAUUCCCUCUACCGCUGUUGUUACUGCUAAAUCCACUCGUAUAAGUCCCGAAAGUUUCACUAGACCCCCAAUUUCCGCUACUUUUUGUUGAAUUACCCGUUUUGGGCAAUGAAUCCGCCAUACCCCCCAUUGAAAAUGAGCUCUUAUUCGACGCCGGAGCUGCAUUUUUCAAAGGCACAUUACUAUUGCCCUUGUUCUGACCCAAUGCCGAGCCAAGCAAAUCACCAAACAAGUUGGGAUCUUUGUUAACAACUCCAAUCCCAGAAUUCAAACUGCUAGCUGGGGCAGAUGAACCCCAACUCUUCCCAGAAAUAUCCCCCACCAUCGAAGUGGGACCCGAUAGAGAUCCCGUCCGAGUUGAUUGAGCCGGAGCAGCAGGUUGGUGGGUCCAUGAGGGUUUGUUAAUAGGCUGGUGAGUCCAGGACGGCGUCGUACUGGGCUUUGCCUGAGCUGAUGAAUAUGAACCAUAUGAAGAAGACUGGUUCUUUUGAUCGCUAAGAGAUCGAGAACCCGACUUUCCAAGACCCAAAUCGAACUCGAAACUAUUUAAGGAUCCCGAUUUGCUAUUGGAUUUUCCGUAGUUUGAAUUCAUUUUCCUCCUCUAGAUGUGAAUUAUGUUUAGGAAGUUUGGGCUAAUCAAAUCAAAGCCAGAUAAAAAAACGAAAACUAAACGUAGAUGAUCCGAAAAUAUAGAUCAAACAACGAACUACUAAAAGAAAGGAAGAAAGAAAGAAAGAAAGAAAGAAGGGAUCUCGGAUGGGUUCAGUAUAUACCUGAUGGAGUUAAAAUUGGAAUUGAAACUGAAAUUUGCAGAGAGGUUAAAGAAAAGCUUGGACCGCGUAAGGCUGAAAGGAGCUCAGAGCCACCGCUGGAGAGAAACCAAGUCGGAGGGAAUAAGAAGUGCGACGGGACCGCGAGUUGGAGCAGGAGCUGGCUAAUUAACAUAUAUAGCUAAAUGUGUGAAUGCCAUUCUCUUCAAUUGAGUUGAAUUGCUGACGUGGCACAUUUUUAUUGGUCUAUUGGUGGUAGUCCUCCGAUUGAUUGAGCUAAUGAAUUGAAUUGAGGACAAAAUCGAGAUUUCACGCCUUAAUGAAUAGGUAGGGUUCCGAGAGUCUUCGCUUGCGCCGCUCAUUGUGUUUCUUGCUUCUGCUCCGUUUCUUUCUUCCUUUCUUCUCCCGUUCUUUCUUCCUUUCUCCUUUCUUUGUUUUUCACUUCUUCUCUUUCUUCUUUAAUUGAACAUUAAAUAACAGUGCAAGACAAAACAAAGGUCACAUGUUGGUCUUCUUCCAGAGCUUCUCUCCCCUUCCAUUUUUCUUUCCUUUCUUUGGCAAGAAAAUAAGAUUCGGGAUUUUCUCUCCCAGAGAUGUCAAAAUGUUUUUCCUCCUCUUAUUUUCUCUUCAUCUCUCCAGUUUUUUUCUGCACCGCCAUCUACCCAAAUCGUUCUUCCUCUCAUCAGCUGAAUCAUGUGUACGCUGGAUCAUCCACCAUUAUAAAAGCAAAAAAAAAAAAAUAUGGAGAUCGUUUUCCCUUUUAAACUUUCUUCAUCUCCUUCUAAAAAAUUGUCAUCUUUAUCGGUGAUUUUUGUGGGUUUUUUUUCCUAAUACUUGAUUGUACUUUCUAUGGUGUUGUAGGUGGAAAGGUUGAAUAUUUACAUUGACUCCAGAUUCAAGGUAAGUGUCUUCCAUGACUUUUCCUUAUCUUUAAAACCCUCAAUUCUUUUUCUCAUAUGCCUUUACUCUCAUCUCUAAGGUUUUUUUUCCUGUUUUUUCGUAUUGCUUUAAGAAGGAAUAAUUUGACUUCCCCGUAAUAUAUUGUGCUCUUUUUUAUGUUUUGGUGAAACAAUUUUUUUUUGUUUUCGUUUUGGGUUUUUUGCUGUUGCUGUAAUUUAGGGAUUUUUUUUUAUGGAGAGCAAUGAAGGAGGGGAUGAUAAUGUUCUGGAUGGUUUCGCAAGUCAAAAAAGGUUUGCUUUUUUUCAUACCCUUUUAUAAAUAAUCAAGAACAUUCCCUAUUAAUCCUUUGGCAAAAUGUUGUGAAAUAUCAAAUAUUUCAAUCCAAAAAAGUACAAUUAUAAUGUUAAUAUGAUUAGCAAUCCUGUAAACUCUACUGUCCCUAUAGCUUCUGAGGUCUUCAAGAAAGCAGGGACUUAUGAUGACAAAAAGUUUUUUGGCGUCACUAUACUCGAUGUUGUCAGGGCGAAGACAUUCUAUGCUGGGAAGGCCGAAGUCAAUGUUGCAGGUAUAUCUGCUAGGCCUUGGAUUAUAGUGUGGUGUAUGUAAAAGUGUCUUACUCGUUCUUUGUCGUGUUUUGGUUUUGGGAAGUAGUCUAUUCUGGCCUUAACUUACCUUUUAAUGCUUGCUCCUUUCCUCCAGAGGUUAACGUACCUGUUGUUGGAUAGAAAAGUACUCCAGUUCUUUUGUUUGGUUUGAAAAAUGAGGUAGUGUAUUUUUUGGGUGAUACAACAAGUUUUCUGAAGCAAAACUUAUCACUUGAGAUAUGAUAAGUGAAUGGGUGAGAAAGUUCAAGUUUUGAUGUUAGAAAUCACAUUGGAAAUGGUGAUGCAUUUGACCAUAAACCUUUUACGAAUAAGAAAUUUUUUUGCUGUCACUGGACUAGAAUACACCUACUUUUACACUUUUUUCCUUCAUUCCCCCAAUUUCUUUGUCUCCUAUGUUUCAGAAUUUUUUAUCUGAUUGUUUUCUUUUAACCCAAAAAAGUAGAAAUAGGCUUUUGUGUGUGCCUAUAGGGGUUUAAAAAGUAAAUGCACUUUUAGAGUUAAUAAAAAUGAAUGGUGCUUGUUAAAUUGGUUGCUUCAGAAUAUGACGAAAUUGGGAGGGGCAUUGCAAGAGUUAAUUCAGUUUGAAGGCAUUCUCCUGUUAAGAUUUUGGGUACUCGUAUAUUUACCAUACUGCCUAUCUUUACUGCCUUGAAAUUUAGCGGGGUUCUAUCUAUCUCUAUUGAUUGCAGUUAUUAUUUCUUAGCAGUUGAAAUGUCUUAAAUUUAGUGGAUAGAGCAGCUGAUGUUCUAUGUUCAAAUUUCCCAACUCUUGUUUAGUUGUUGCUUGGGUUUUUCAAAAUAACUGAAAUUGUCAAUUUUCUUGGUUCUUGUUCAUGUCUCUGCCAUUGCAAGGAGACUUUGACUGCCAUUUCCAGGUUGACCUUUUGGCCCAUGUUCCAAAGAAUCAUCCAAAAUAUAAUGAAUCUGUUAUUAAACUACAUGGUAUUCUUCAUAAUGUCAAGAUUUGGGAGGCUGUAUGUUGAAAUCUUUAUUUCAUAGUUGAUUUUUCUGGUUUUGUGGUUUUAAUAUGCAAAGUGAAAUCAUUAUUAUGCCUAACUUCCUUGAAGAUGUUUUGAUCAGUUCAUGAUUCAUGAGAUACAUAGUUAUAUGAAUUAGGUAAAUGGAGUUUCAAAAGCAAUGUCCAUGUAAUCUACUAUGAAGAUACUGUCUUUCCUCUUUUAAAUUACUAAAAAAACCUAGCUCGAUCUUUGACUGGAAAAAAUAUGUUUAAAAAAUAGUAUCCCUGUGCUUCACACCAUUGACCUUUGAUGUUGGACCCAAUUUUGCAUUUUUAAAAAAAAGAAAAAUUGGAAAGUAAUGCAUAGGAAGUUCUCUAGAAUUUGCUUCCACAUAUAUGUACAGUGUUUUGUUCCCUUUGGGGAAAUUUCAUCAGUGACAUUAUUUUUAUUGAUUGAUUUCUAUUGGUAAGACUCGCUUUUAUACUCUCUCAGUAGAUUCUUUUCUUGUUUUUGUUAUCCCCAAUUUUUUUUGUGAAUUCUUCUUUCUUCUAAGCAACUUUAAAUGUUCUUUUCAUUAUAUGAAUAUGUUAUUAUUGGGAUACAUCUAAUCUUGAUCCUACUUCUGUAGCAGGAAAUGACCAUAUUUUCUGUUUUGUUACUGGUGGGUCUGCUCAUGUGCAAAUGCAACUUAGCACCAAAGAGUGUGAGAGUCUGGGAUUAACUGGUCUGGCUCUCUGCUUAGACUGCAACACUUUUGCUGAGUACGUCAAGGACCAAGGUUAUACCUUUAUUAUAUGAAUUUUGUUGAUCCUCUGAUAUUUAUGGUUUUUGGUGGAUUUUAUUUCUGGGUUAUGAUGGGUUUUUUGAAUUGAUUACUCGCUUGUAAGUACAUGGGUUGUAAAAUGGUAAUAUUUGGGAUUCUUGUUUCUGUACUAUAGCUGAUUGGUUGUCAAAAUUAACGAAUAGUAGGAAGCAGAUGUGAUUCUUAUUGCUUUUAGUUGACUUAAGAUCUGGGUUUUUUUUUUUGGGAUUUAUGAAUUGCUUAUUUAUAUGUGAGAUGUCAUUGGUGAUAAUUUGAAACAAGAACCUAAAAAAGGCUAUGUUUUUAUACAAAUCAGAUUGAGCUAUUAUGCUUAUAACAGUAAAUAAGUGUAUUUUGAUUUUUGUUGUUUUCGCUAUAAUUUUUUGUGAUUAAGUUUGAUAAAAAAAAUGGAUGGAUAAGUAGUAUUUUGGAAGAUUUAUCUUUUUUCUUUUUGUGCCUCAGAUAACUUAAGUAUAAUCGCAGAAAUCGAAAUAAGAUCUUCAUUGGGAUUCUUAAAUUAUCUCAUGCAAUUAAUGGCGUUACAUUGUAAUCUAUAGAAUUCUAAGUAACUAGCCUGGAUUAUGGUAAUGGUUCAGUUUUGUUGCUCUUGAGGAUGUUUUGCACCUGAGCUGACAAUGAUCAAGACCUGCAAGAACAAACGUUCUACGGUCAUGAUUUCCUCAAUUACGCCUUGUAGUUCCUUAUAUUUGAUGAUUAGGACCAUACCUAUUAAAUUGGGAUAUUCUGUUGGCAUUCUUUAUUGUACCAAAUAAAGUACUAUCAGGAGAAAUUCUGAAUGGAAAUGUGCCAUUUUCUGAAACAUGUACCAGAGAACCCUUACUCUUCAACCCUUUUAUAUCCAUUUUGGUGACUUUGGAAAAUUUAAAUAGCUGAAGCUUGUGUAACAGAAUUCAUCAAUUAUAUAAUGACUUAGAUUUGUUAAAGAAUUUUGGAUAGUAAGAUUACAACAAACUUUUUGAACAUUCUGCAAUAAUUUUAGUUAACAGGAAGAAAAUUGCUUAUGUCGUCUAGAAAUCCUGGAUGUUUGACAAGAUCUGCAUUUAACAUAUGCAAUUUAGAUGAUAACUUCUAUAGAUUUCUGUAUGAUAUUGGAAUGAUCUUUUUGAGCAUUCCGCAAAUAAUAUACUCUAUGAGUAUGAUAAUCUGGAAAACCUAAUGUUUGAAAAGACUCCGGAUGCAGUUUAGAUUUGUCAGUGCCUCUUAGAAAUUUGCCCCUUGGCUUUGCCUUAGGCUUAGAGAUGGCUUGCUGGAUCGGUCCAUUUUUAUCUAUUGAUUUUUGUUGUGAAUUUUAGUGUGCAAAGCUUGGUCCUGUCGAUUCAAAAAUAGCUCAUUUGAUGCCCACUGUCUUGAGUUCAUUUUGUUUUGUUUUGUAAAUUUUUCAUUGAUUUCUUUGUUUUGUGUUUUGGCCUGUAUCGUUGCUUCUGAUAUAUGAUGAUUUGGUAUCUGUAGGGUAGGAGAAGGGGCGGUGGCAUAUGGUGUUAAAAAUCUUAUUUUUCAUAAGAAAUAUCUCCAAGUCAAUAGCUUAUGUAGAUGAAAGCCUUGGGAUAUUCCGCCUUCUAAAUCUCUCUGACCUUUGUUGUGUAAUUUACAGGAUCUAUUGAGGCAUGAGAGUAACAGAAGCCGUGGUGACAUCCCUUUCAUGUAUGUCAUUAUUGUGGGUUUGCUUGGCCUUGUUCUGGGUUAUCUUUUGAAGAGGACGUAAUCAAUCAAGGUUUGGCGUAACCUGCAAUAUCAUGUGUUACAGUCUGUUUCAAAAUAUUUAGAUCAUUGAAGACAAAUGUACAACUGAUCGGGAAGCGCUCAGUAUCAUGUAGCCAUCUGAUUGACUGUAGAAACAUGCUUAAGAAGGUGCUUGAUGGAUUUUUGUUAUUGCCUUGAGGGCUUUAGAGCAUUCAUUGUGUGACUAAUUGCUGUAACGUGUUAUUUUGGAAACUUAAGCGAUGGACAUAUUUUUAUCUUGCUUCUUGUUUUCUUUCCCUUUCUAAUGCCUUAAUGUUCAAUCAGCUAGAAUUUUGUUGGCUUUUUCCCCAGUGGUCAUAUUGUUUCAAUCAGUCAUCAUUUUAUCUUCAGUGGUCAUAUUUAAUUUUUCUCUUUGUGAUCUUGAUAUAAACAAAUAUUGAUUCAUUUUCUCAUUGUCUAUUGUUGAUUUGUUAUCCAAGCAUUUGAGAGUUUAGUUAACGUGUAUACAUACAGAAUAUGAUAAAUGUUAAACUAUUCGAUUUGGAGCCUUCAUCACUUGUGCUUUCAGUUUCAUUAUGCAAGUUGCAAAUCUGCCGUGGUUGAUGUGUACAUAGCCAAUAGUUUUGAGGGUGUCAAGUCAGCAUACUAGAAUAAUUUCUAAGUUUUAACCAGGAAUUAACACCAUCCGAAUCUCAGGGAACCAUCAAUAAGGUUAAGAAGCUUUUCAUCUUUCGAAUUUUAGAAUUUUGCUUGAUUUGAACAAUAAUAGAAAUCGAAUUGAAUUACUUAUCAGAUUGAGUAAACAAAUAGCAUCUCCACUGUUAAAUAUUUGGUUUUUUUUUUCUUCCCUAAAAGGUUACUUGUUUGCAAAACUACAAGACUAAUAAAAUAUAUUUGUUUUGAGAACAAAAGUAAAUGAUCAAUAAAGAAAUAUCUGACCCGGACACUCCUGUGUUGACAAAAAAAAAAAAAAAAAAAAAUCUGAAGUUUUGCUUUUCUUGGUUUUGCAUCUGCAUCAUCGCUGCAGCCGAGGAAACUUCAUUGGUAGAGUUUUCAUUGUGGGUCUGUAGAGACUGCAUUUUAGAGAUCUUUUUUGUAUGUGGAUAUGAUUAUAUAUUAUUUUAAAGUUUCUUUUAUGGAAAAAAAAAGAGAAGAUGUUAUAUUUGUUGUAUGUUGUUGACUUAAAACUUAUCUUGCAUCUGAAAUAUUUUCAUUGUGUAAUUAUUUGAUUUGGUUUUUCAAAACUCAUUCAUUGUCUUAAUAAGAUUUUAGACACGAGAUAAUGGUUUGUUUAUCUUAUCAAUUAUAUGUAGAUUUUUAGCCCGUAUUGUGUUGAAUCCUGUAUCUCUUGCAAUUAUGUGGUCGUUUUUAUAUUUUACAAUUAAAUAGGCUUCUUAUCCGACAUAUUUUAGUAUUGCUCUCAAAAAGUUGACCUUCCUCUUGAAUUUGUUCAUGAGUGGCAUAUUUUUUGUGCACAUCAAAUCAUUGCAAAUACAGUUAGUAUAUGCAAGAUGACGUUACAUGGUAAUAUAUUAUUUUGAAACUCAUGACAUUGCCAAUCCUAUUCAAUUAGUAGAUAAAGCAAAAACUGACUCUUCGUCGCUUAGUCACUAAGUUAAAAUUGUGGCUUAUUUUCACUGCUUAAUAAAAUUACAAAAACAUAAUCCUAAAGAUUUUGGUGCACCUUUGUAUAACUUUUCAUACUUACUAUCUAAAUUUGAGUAAUUGCGCAUUUCUGGGCAAGUCCAAAAAUUACACCGCGCAUCGCGCGGUGUUACCCUCCUAGUUAUUUAUCAUGUUUGAUCCAGUUUACCAAUUUAGCGACUGAGACAAAUUUUUUAAAAUUUGCAAAUCCCCCCAAUGAGUUACUCCUGUAUGCUAUAGGAGUACAUCUACGCAACUUGAACAUAAAUGACAAUUUCCGUUAAUGUUUAGUAAAUAUCUGCAUGGAAUUAUUUUUGAGAUCUUUAACAAUUUAAAUAUUAUGAUUCCCAUUAUACACGAAAGUCAUAAAGUGAUGUGUUUAAGGAUUAAAUCCAUCAAUUUAUUUGUAGUUUGACCAUGCUCAAGUUUCAUUUAUGUCAGAUGAAUCUUAAGAGCGUGUUUGAAUAACAAAUCAUUUGGGAUAAUUUUUUUUAAACUAUUGUAGCGCUUUUUCAUGUUAUGUAUAUAAGAUAAAAUGGUGAUUGAAAAAUGUGUUGAAGAUAGAAACAAAUAAAAUUUGGCAAAUAAUCACUAUCCAAACAAAUAAAAUUGUAGGGUUUUACCUUGAAAUGUUUUUCAAUAUUAGGCUUCUUUAUUGUUUCGCUAGGUGAUUGACUAAUUGCUUUUUUUUUUUCUCUUUUUUUUUUUAGAAGUAAAAUAGGAGCAGCUGAAAUACCCAUCAUUUACAAGAAAGAUGUAGGUACGCUUUUCAAAUUUAGAUGGAAUUCCAGGGCAGUCUCUUUAAGCUCUCAGGAAGAUUGAUAUAUUGACUAACCGCAGCGAAAUGAGGGUUCACUAUCAUUUCUCACAUGAAAUUGGCAAUUAAUCUCACCUCCAACUAAAUGAAAUACAUUUCUUUUGAUGCUUUUACGUUGAUGUUAUCCUCUAUUACCAUAAUUGUACACUUCUUUUUUUGGUACAAACGAAAAUAUACACUUAUUUUGAAGUUUUUAAAGCAUUGGCAUUGAACAAUGUAGCAAAGAUAUUACUGAAUAGUCACAAAAAGAAUAGUCACAAAAAUUAUCCACUUCUUUUUUUGGUAAAAAUGAAAAUAUACACUUAUUUUGAAGUUUUUAAAGCAUUGAAAUUGAACAAUGUAGCCAAGAUAUUACUGAAUAGUCACAAAAAGAAGACAACCGUAUUUCUAUCAGCUAGCAUAUGUGCUGAAAGAUAAUUUUUCCCUAUCAACUUUUGCAACGAAAACAUCGAAGGGGAAAGUAAGCAAGGUAAGAAUACCUUGCAAUUCGUACCGGCUUCACUUCGAGACACUCUUCUUCAAAUCCUUGAGGUGCAAGAUGAGCAGCAAGGCUUUUCAAUCCCCAAAUACACAUUUGUAGUCAGUACAAGGCAAGAAGAGGCAUUUUUUCCGUUUUGACUACAUAACUUAGAUGUUUGUUGUUCAUCACCAUCUAACUUCUCGAGAAACACAGCAACCGUAACCAUUUCCAGUUCUAUCUCUUAUUAAUCGGACAAGAAUUCAAGGUUCAAAAGGAACUUAUAGUUGCAGUUAAAGAAAAUGCCUGCUGAAGUUUCAGUUACUUCAAGGGCCAUUCUACUAAAUCAAGUAAAAUACCAAUUACAAAAGAUCCCAAUGGAUAUUCACACGAGUUCUGACAUGCCAGGUAACAUGCAGUCUUUCCUAACCAGCUAACUUGACAAUACAUGACGGGCCAAAUUACUAUCCAUCCCUCAAGCUUAACUAAAUUCAGAGGAAUCUCAUAUUUCAACAACUAUGAUUUUCAGGCAUUUGUCCCCUGAAACCCUCCCUGGUUUGGUUGAUAACCACCCUCACCACUCUGAGGUACAUUCUGGCCAUUCAUUGGUGUUGGCUGCUGCGGCGCUGCUUGCUGAUUUGGAGACCAGGCCUCUCUUCGAAUAGGCUCUCUCCUUUCAACCUGCAUUGUCUCACGUCGUCUAUCAUACCGUGGACGAGGCCUGUUCCUGGUUUGUUGCCUCUCAUUGAAUCUAUAUUGUGGCCUAGGAAUAACCUUUCCAUCAACAAAAAGAUCCCCUAUAGCAAAUUCAAAAACAGCACCAAGAAAUGUUUGAUUACCAUGAAAAAGUAAUAGAGGAAAUGUAAGGACAUAAAACAUUAAAUUUCCACUCUGCUAACCUCCAUAGUCCUUGUUGGGAACAUCAAGAUAUGAAUCAGGCAAAACCCACAGAACAUCUGGUAAACCUAUUUCAAGACACACAACGUGGAAUUAGUCCAAAAAAACCUCAAAAGUAAUCUAGAACAAGCUAUUUUUUGUCCAAUCUCAAAUUAAUUACUUUAGCAAAAAUAAAUCAAAAGUUUGAUUAAGCCAGGAACAUUAGCAAAUAACAUGUUCAGAUAGUCAGGAGAUAUAAACAAAAAAUAAUUGUUCCGGCCAACAGUUUCCAAAGAAUGUAGAACAUUGAACACAAUUCCCAUAAGUGUACAUUCAAUUGAAUAUCUCAAGCAAUGACUCUACAAUUACGACUGUAAACAAAUGAUAAGCAUAUACUAGACCUUUUAAACCCCAUCAAGAUCCUGAUACUGUGGGAAUAGGUUGGAAAAAUAGAAUACAUAACACAAUGUGACAUCCCUUGCUUCUUCAAUUUUCUUCUGUACAGAAGUUGCCAUAUGAUUGUUUUGAAUUUUAUUGCUACAGAAGAUGAUGUUUUUCCUUCUCCUAAUUCAGACUAUUAGAACAAAGCAAACUCUGAUCCUCCAAAAGGGGAAAGAUCAAGAACAAAGUAAACUUCACCCAAACCCGAAAAAAUAAACACAAAAAGACAUAGCAAGUCAUAAAAUAACUAUGACACUUUAUUGAUAUCAAAAUCUCUCCAAUUACCAUGGGGCAUUGAUUACCUUUAACUUUGUAUGAGAGCUCCUCAGAAAUCAAAGCACCAAAUCCAGUGUAUGUUGUUGUGCAAACAGAGUAAAUUUUCUUCUUUGCCUCCUCUUCACUGCAUAAUAAACAAACAAGACAUGACACAAUCUCAGAUUAACAACUGUAUGUUGAACCUUUAGAUAAACUAUGGCUAUUAAGCAACUAGGAGAAACAUCUCCAAAACCAAUGGCCAAAACUUAGUGCCAAGCAGCACACAGUUACGUACAUGAAGUUCUAACAAACAACUUAUUGACACUGAUGAUUAGUUCCAUUUACUAUAUUUUCAGGCAGAUAACAUUACAGUACGCUGAAAUGCCAAUUCAUCAAAAUGCCAUCUAACCAUCCUAUACCGAAAAACAUGCAUUCAAUCUGAAAAUUGUACAUGCACUAGUAGACGUCGAUGACAGAGUGGAAAAGUAUAGCAACAUUCAUACUGGAAACAGGUAAAACUAAAUGCCAGAAACGUAUGAUAAAAAACUGCAUUGAGUACAUGAAUUUCUCUUUUUUGCCACACUUUCCGGUACAAAAAAACAUGCAGAGGAAACUUAAGUAAACAGGUUAAAGAAUCAUACUUUAUACAAAGAUUUUCCAACAAUAUCAAUGCCAUGCAAUCAUAAAUAUUUCCUAGUUUGGGUUUUGCAUAUCAAGGAUAAUCCCCUGAGUAAAGCACACAUAAUGUAUAUUUAAAAAAAUUACAAGCUGAAUUAAAAGAUCAUCCCCUUUUUUCUUUUUCUUUUUUUUUUGGUUCUGCCUUUCUCUUGUCAACGAUUUAUCAUCAAGGAAUUAGUUAAAAACACAUAAACUAACAAGAAGUACAUCAAUUAAGUUCAAGGGCAUUAUACCCUAAAAAAUCUUGUAAUUUCGUCAUAAGAUAAACUAAUUUUUUUUUUCAUUUUUCUUUCCAAAAAAUUAAUUACUAGGCCUCGGUUCAAAUCUAGUACAACAUAAAUAAUUGGAUAAAAAGGAUAAUCAUGUCAAGAAUCUAAGCAACAUGUGGUUGCCCACCGAGAAAAAGUAAUUGUACCUUCCAACAACAGAGGCUAGGGUUUUAACAUAAGUGUUAACCAUUUCUUCAUCCGAGGGUUUGGGGUCAUUUGGGAACUCCAUGACGAUAAGCCAGUGUUCAUAGUCGCAACCGUCGAGGAGUAUCGUCUCCUUCGGCGGUCGGUUGCUCCAGUUGGGUGACGGGUCAUUUAGGGGAGAGUAGCCCGACCCGGAUGUUCUGUUCCGGGUUAGGAUGUUAUACGGGAUCGGAGCUGCCUCUGGGGUUUCGUUAUGGAGAUUGAGGAGAGGGACAGUGAGGCGGGCACGAGAAGGAGAUGAUACGGUGCGGCUGAAAAGGGUGGCUAAUGUGCGCCGGGCGGCGAAUAGCGCCAUGGCUGCUGCUGCUGCUGCUGGCUACAGAGUAUUGACGAGAUGGUUGGGCUAUUUUAUUCAUCUUCUCGCGGAAGAAAUUGCACUUUGGCCCUUCAUGUUUGGGUUUGUUCUUUUUCUGCUAUUUUAUUUUGGAUUUGUUCUUUUUCUGCUAUUUUCUUUACUCUUUUUUUUUUUUUUUCCUGAUGGAGGGGGUUUUCGGGUCAUCAAAUAAAUCGGACCCGACUAAUCCCCCACCGGUCCGGGAGGAGAGGCCCCAUCCCCCGAACACGAUAACCAUGGGAUUCGAACCCUGGUGGGACUGGACAACGGCUCCUAAGCAGGCUUACCGUGGCCAACCGAGAAUUGAAUUUACUCAUUCUUGAUACUACUUCAAGAAUUUACUCAUUCUUGAUACUACUUCAAGAAUUGAAUUUAAACAAGUAGAACGCUUUCGUGUAUAAGCAAUAAUUAAUUUCUUACUUAGCUUGACAAUCAAUGAUUAGUUCCUUUAUUUUGUUUUGAUGAGGGAGGUAAAUGAGUUGUAUAUACUGAACACUAACUUAUUGUUUAUAAGCACAGUUUCACUGAGUAAAUUUGACUUACAAAAUAUUGGGGAGUUUGGAUGAAGAAUACAAACUUUUAUCUUUUUUAUUGGGAUAAGUUUGAGUUCUAUUUGAUCGGAGUGUUCCAUCAAUGCAUGAAUUUGUGUUCAUUGAUAUCAAGUUUAAAUCGAAUCAAAAUGUUAACAGGCAUAAAUUUUAUUUAGAUUUGAUCUAAUUAAGUUAACCGAUUAAUCUGAAAUGAGUUUUUGUUAAAUUGAACUUGAUUCAUGUAGCAGUUAGUAGCUUGGUUAAUCUAUCCUGGCUUAUUUGUGCUAAAACUAGUCUUCUGAAUUUAUUUUUUCAUAUUCUGAAGGCAUGUCAUCAUUUAGCUUGGUUCAUGUAUAAUUGCUUCUCAUGUUUUGAAUUGUUCUUCCAAAUUAGACAAGGCGAGGGAUCCAACACUAGGUACCGUACCUUCUUUAAAAGUAAAUUAUUGAUCACCUCACAUACACAUUUUUCUUACAAAAUAAGGUUUAUGUGAAAACUGCCCUUAGACAGAAUAGAAAACCAAAAAGAAUGGAAAGACAACGAAUUGGAAAUAAAGUUUGUAGGUUUGCAAUAAAUUAUUUAUAUAAUGAGUGGCCAAUUGACACUAAUGUUAGAACUUAGAACUAUAGCGUUAGUUUCUGAAUAAUAAUAAUAGAAAGAAUUAAUGGGAAAAUUGCUUCAAUGAAAGGGUGAGGGAACAGAAAUGUAGUAAAUGUGCACUAGAUAGCAAACUCAGCUCAAUCUCAAAAUUAAUCCAAGUUUAUUUGGACCAAUCCAUUAAACCAUGUUGGUUUUAAUUUGCCUAUUCUUUGUCCACAUAAUUUGCAUGGAAAUGAGAGACAUAAUUUGUUCCUUCUUUUUUGGCCUCUCUAUAUAAUUUGUCAACAAUAAGAGACAACAGAUCGAAAAGGGUCUUUUGAGCGAAUGUGCAAAUUUAAUGAGGGGCAGCAUGCUGUUUCCGGGCAGCUAUUGCAUCUAAAAUUAGUGUAUUUGGAUUCGACUUUAUAUUUGGAGAAUAUGAUAUAUGUGAGAUAAAAAGAUGAUUGGGGAAAUAAAAAUGUGUAGUAAAAAAUGUGUUUGUGAUACAAACAAAUAAUUUUUGUGUAAAUGAUGCCUAUUUCCCUGUCCUAACAAGAAUGCUUUCUCUAUUUCCGUCCUUGCAAGAUCUUCAGUUUUGUUCGUGUAUUAGCACUUGCAACAUUCUCCCCGUUCUCCAUAUCCUAAUCAGCCCUUCCCAUCCCCAGAAAAAAAAAAAAAUAAAUCAAGAUUUAGCUUCUAGAAAGCAGAAAUACUUCUUUCCCUACACAUCUGUUUGUUCUUUUUUUACUGGAAAUAUAUAUAACUAUAAUACACAAGGAGCAGGGGUUUGUACACCGCUAGAGAUAACUCGCGCAUUAGCACAAAUGGAGGAAAGUCUAGCGGUCCUCGUGUUCCUGAGAUUGAUGUUGGUAAAAUACACAUUUUGGCAAGGAACCGAUGGGCUGCACGUUAGACUGAUAGCAGUUUCUGUGCUUGUGGUUCCCCUUAUGUUUUCAUAGACAACAUCGGUGAUUCUUACUUGAGAUGGCUGCAUAAAAUUAAACAAUCAAAAUCAGAAUUGGGAUUUCUUUCUUCUUCACAUGGGAGAUUAAUCACUUCAUAUUGGCUUUCAUUGAUUGAGGUCCGUAGCUUAAUUUGUUUACACAGCUGGAGAGAGAGAGAGAGAUUAACCGACCUGGGUGGAGGAUCCGCCAUAGUUUUGGUCUAUGAUGAUGGGGUUCAACACAUUUUCCAUGACAAUAUCGCUGAAACGCAUCCCUGCAGCAACACUUGGACCUGAUCCUGCGUAUGUUUUAAUUCUGACGCCAUUUGUAGUGCCUUGCAGUGUGCAAUUUUUCACAAUCAGCCCUCUCACAUCCAAUUCAUUGGGAUAUUUGCCCAGGCUACCUAUGCUGUUUCAUGAACAAUAAUAAUGUUAACCCGAAAAAGAAAAAAGAAAAAAGUUAAUAAGGUUGUUAACCAAGAAUGCAAUCACUAAAAUGAGCUAGAUUUUGAUUCGCACGACGAUCCAAUCAUCAUUAAGCAAACAACUUUCGUGUAAGCCAAAAAGUACCUGAUGCCAUGUCCAGGGCCGCAGGUGACUUUGUUAAUGGUGACAUUAGUGGCUCCCGGUCCAAUAGAGACACAAUCGUCGCCUGUUCUGAUUACACUUCUGGCUAUCUUCACAGUGUUAGAUUUGCUUACGUGCAUGCCAUCGGUGUUGGGACUAUCUGGAGGUGCAGUAAUGGUGAGGCUAUGUGCUCUAAAUAGGUAGCUGUUAGUAACGUGCAUGUGAAAUCCCAUGGCGUUUACCAAGCUGAUACCCUUGAUUUUUGCAUUCUUCACACCAUUAAAGUGGAAAGACUGCACAAAUUCAUCAAAAAAACAUAAAAUGUGAGAUUCUUGCAGGGAAAGUCAGAGGAAAGUAAGGGAAAGAGACAACAAAAGUUAAAUGCAAAUGUCUCAGUUUCCAAUUCCUAUGAUUGGUCGAAGAUAUAAUAUGGGGCCAUGAAGAUAAAUUUUCUUGAAAUCUAUCAGCACUUUCUUCAGAUAUAAUUUGCGGUCAGUUCUUUGUCACCAAUAGUAAAUUACUAGUAGUAGGGUUUAACGAUCUAAAAUAUUUUAUCAAGACUUUUUUUUUUUUUUUGAAAAGAGAGAGAGAGAGAGAGAGAUUUUCUAUGGAUAGCAUAUAAAAGAGCUGGAUUAUGUGACAAUUUUUGGACGAAGAAUUGCAACCCCGUAAGACUGAGUUUAUUUAGGUGCUUACGGCUGGUAAAUGCACACAAUCACCAUUAUUUUUGCAGUCAUUGUAUUGCCAUACAUUCUGGCCCCGGCCGUCAAUGGUACCUCCGCCAGUAAUUACCAAGCCGUUUAUCGUGUCGAAAGAAAUCCAGCCUUGACCGGAGUAUGCAGAAACAUCAGACACGGCUUGUACGGUUCCGGCAACCUGGAAAACGAUGGGACUUUGGCUGCUGCACGGCCCCUCAAAUGUGACCUCUCCGAGCGUGAAAAUCCCUGGAGGUACAAACAAACUUGCCCUUGGUCCAACGAAUUUACAGGCAGCAUUCCAUGCCCUCAUGAAAGCCUGCUGGAACGCAAUUAUGGAACUACCAUUAAUUCUCUAGUUUAUGUGGAUAAAUUCAAAACGAGAGAUGGUUACAUUAUGCAUUAAUUAUUACCAUCAUCAAUCAAGUAAUGGUUGGGCAGGAAAAUUAUUCAUCUAUUUAUUUUGUUUUUUUUUUCUAUUCUAGCAAUCUGUAAAAGGACAAAUCAUAAUCCAAUAUUCAGAAAAUCAUUGGUGAUGUGCACUAGCCAGUUGCAUAAUCAAUAGCAAAUGCAUAGCUUACAACCCAAAUAAAUACUAUCUGCAUGAAUGAAUACGAUAAUUCACCUGGGCACUAUCUGUAUUGCCGGGCUUUGCACCAAAGCUGACCACAUUAAAGACGGCAGGAGGGGCGGGCCGUGGAAGGCCGCCAGCUGCAUUGCAAGAAGCCAGAGCCGAACAUAAAACAAGGACCGUAGCAAUUGUGCUGCUGCUGCUUCUUCUAUCCAUGGCCAUUUUACCUGCCGCAGCAACCCUCAAAAACUGGUCUCCUCCUCCAAUUGUUUUUAUAAAUUGCUUGUUUGCUCUCACCCCAGGGAUUUUAGAUGUUGAAAGGGCAAGAGCUCUCUCUCUCUCCGAUAUCUUUGUGUUUGGUUCUUUUUAUAAUUCAAAAGCAAUCAUUGUUCACACUCCAUAGUUAUCGGCAAUGCCUGUAUAUUGGCUGUUCGGACGCUGCGGACGACCUUAAGUUUACGUUUUGUUCUUGUUUCGGCUUGUCUCCGAAAUUGAGGGCUGUUAUUUAGUCACCCUUUCAAGUUCCUUCAAACAUAGCACUAAUUUAUUAGCCGCCGGGCCAUGCACCUCUCUCUUUCUCUCUCACGCCCGCAAACUUUGGUAAUUGACCUCUCGCCUCUCAUUUUCAUCGAGUCCACCCAUAACUGAGAUUAACGCUCACCAGUUUUAACUUCCUGAGAACCUUAUUAUACAUGUCUCAAGCCACAUGGUGGACUGUCACCAAGUAAUGAUCAUGGUAAGUCAUAUGUUGACUAUUGUCACAUGAUGCACAGAGAUUAUGAAAUUCCCUCUCUGCGGUUGCCUUACCCAGCUAAUUAACCUCGGAUUAACAAACCAAAUGCAAAGGGCAUGUAUGGUUAAUUUUCAUGAUUAGUAUGGCUAUUAAAGCUUGCUCUUCUUCGAUCUUGUAGACAUACAAAUGGGAAGCGUUUUGGAUACGUCACUCAUCAAUAUAUACUCUUUUUUUUUUUUUAUAAAAAGGAGCUUGGGUGGAAAUAUAUAAUCAUGGGAUUGGGACCAGUAUGAUUAACAUGAUACAAGUGAUAGAGUUGUCGUAUUUUUUUAUUUUUUUUUAUCAUCUGGCAUAUACUUACGGACAUAGUGUACUCAUACUUCGAAUUAGUGUAUUAUCAACGAAAUUUAUUCGCACAACAGAAUAAUGUAGGGAUAAACCAUGUCGUAUAAAAAGGGGAUAAUUGCAAGGAAAUCUCCCCUGAGGUGGUUUCUGACACUUUCACUAAUCUCUUCUGAGAUUUUAAAAAUUAUACUAACCUCCUUUGUCGGAAAUUUGGACCCAUUACUUAUAUAAGAUAUAGUGAAUAUACUACUUUGCCCUAACACAUUAUGCAUUAUUACAAAUAGAUAUUUGACAAAAAAGGUUAGGGCACUAAAUAAUAAGAUUAACUAAUAAAACCAAAAAAAUGAUUAUUUCAUCUCAAAUUAGCAACCAUAAUUACAAUAAAAAAAUGACAUCAAUUGCUAUCCUAAGAUGGCGCUAUUUUUGUGAUUAAUAUCACUUAACAAUGGUCAGAACAUGCAACCUUAUAUAAUCUGCACAAAUAGAUUUUAUGAGCAAGAGAAAUAGAAGAAUUUUCUGAUUGACUUAUUUUGUUGAAUCUUGUGUUCAGACAAAACUAUUCAUGCCUUUUGUUGUUGAUUUGUUGACUAAGACUUGUAUGUUUUUUGCACCAAUACUUUUCCUUUCACCUCGUCAACUAAAAUAAAAAGAUUAAUUUUUUACCCAAAUUCAGAUGCUUCUACUACUAAUUUAAUAGCAUUAUAGAGUUAGUUGUGUCUUUUAUGUGUAGUUGCAAAUGACAAAAAAUUAUGGCCAUUACAAUUUGUACUAGCUAUGUGCAGAGACCAUUGUUGCUUCAGGUUAUAGUUGCUACAUCUUUUCAAAUUUUACGUAUAUCCCUUGACUUUUCAAAUUUUACCAAUACAACUUGAGGACAAUUAUCAUGGAAAAGGGUGUAUAUGGAAGAAAAUUAUCAUCUGAUCACUCUUCAAAAUACUUUUUAAUAGUACUUUUUUGAAUUGGACUGAUUAGGUACCAAAACUUUAAGUUAAAGAGAGAUUAGUGUUUUUUUUAAAAAACUUCAAGGAAGGUCAGGUUUUUAUCUGUUUUAAACAUCGGAUUUCCUUUAUUUUGCUGGAUCCGAUUUAUGAACUUUCCUCACAUUCCAAACUUUUAUCUAUGUGGGCCAGUUCCAAAGUCCUGGAAUUUAGAUGUCUGUAUCCACCACCACACCCCACCGCCGCCCAAAAAGAUAUAAAGAAAAAAACAUAGAUGAAAAGAAAAUCUUUGUGAGAUACACACUUGCAUAUCUUUGGUUCAUCAAGAUUGAUACAUAGAAAUAUAUAUAAGUAUAAUUUAUUACUUUCUGAAAUCUAGAUAUUACUUUCCUAAUGGAUCUAAGAUUCUGGAUGAUGAACAACUGUAUUGCUAUUGGAGGGGGCAGAUUAACUUUCACUUUGCACAGGUAAUUUUGCUAAUGUCUUUUAACGAUUGGAUUUAAGCGAGAAGUUAGGCGUGCAAAAUGUUAAAAAUUAAAAUUUAGAGCGCAAAGUGAAAACAAGAUAUAAGCUUAGUAAUGCAAAUUAGAGUUAGUCCUAGAAAAAAUAGAGAGCUCUCUUAGAGUACUAAAACUAGAAGUCCAUUAAAACUAGCAGUGGAUUUGAGAGACCACAGCCAGACACCACGCUGAUACGUACGUACUAUUAAAAGGGAAGGAAGCAAAAAAAAAAACGAUUUCAUGCAAGACCAUAUAUAUAUACUACUAGAAGACAAGCAUAACACGUAUAGAACUAGUGACAUCUUCUGAUGCUUCACGCCGGCAGCCAGCUAGCGGAGUACCAUAACUAACUCGUCUGAUUUUCCCAAGUGGUGCAGAAGAAAACCUCAGGAUUAAUCAGCCACGGAGAACACCAAAGAGUGAUUUUCGCUUACCAGCAUCCUUAAUCAACACCCCUCCAUAUUUUCUUGCAGCUUGGUUACAGUCAAUGGCUUCAUUUUCUUUCGUAGGAAUAUCAAUAAUGUUAUUACUCACCAGUGGCAAGUUGGACCUUCGAUUUGACCAAAAUGGUUGCUGAAUUCGAUUUGCUUGAGGCUGUUGACGCUCCGGACGAGGUGGUGGCGGCGGCCUAGUGGUUGGACCACGGUACUCUUCACGUUCCAACGUCGCAAAGCCUUCCUUGCCAAUCUCCACUAGACUUGCUCUAUUCUUACGUCCCAUUUCAACCAAAGACUACUAUUUGGAUGCUAAUCGAAUACUAGUAAUUAUAAAUACUGAUCGGAUGAGCAAAGAGUUCGAUUGCUUUUGCUUGGUACAAAAACUAAUGGAUUCAUACAUCUUAUAUAUAGAGGACCAAAAAGUAUCUAUCACUCGCAUCCUGCAUGCCAAUGGUAGCCUAUAUACUUUACUUCCUAGCUAGUUUUAGCUUCAUUAUUGGCAAUAUUCAAUGUUCAAAAAUCAAGUUGGGUCAUGGGUGUGGUUAAACAUUCAUGGCUUUUGAGCGAUAUUGAGUCAAAGAUUCUUUCUUUUUAGGUUUUUAUGCAAUAUGUACUAAAAUAUUCUUUCUUUCGUGGCUCUUUAGGCUUUACAUUGAGUAAAAAAAAAUUCUUCUUUGGUGGCUCUUUAGGUUUUCGCGGAGGCAGUGAAUAAUUUAUUAGUGGAGAAAGCUCCAAAGAGAAAAAUUAUACCGAUUCGCCUAUAGAUUGACAUUAAUAAAAUGAUCAAUUCGAGUUUGAUUGUUCAUUGAAAUAGCUAGUUAACAAUUGCGGUACUAGCUUUUAAUUAAGUUUGUUUGGAUUGGGUUUUAUUUCCCCAAAUUUAUUUGCUUACAUCAUCAUUACAAUUUCCAAUACACCUUUUUACCUUCUCAAUUACCUUUUUAUCUCACAUACAUCACAUCACAAAAAGUGCUACAGUGAAAAUAUCUCUAAUAAUUCACAAUCCAAACAGACAGAAUGUUAUCUACCAAACAAUAAACAUACCACAAAAAUUUUUUUCAUUCUACUUUUGUUUUGUCGUUGCUCUUUAAUUUGCAGUUUUUUCUCUAAGUUUUUUUUUUUUUUUUUAAUAGGAGAAGGGUUAGGUUUGAAAAGCGGCUAUGAUUUCAAUCUUAGCCAGUAAAUUAAGAUCUCUUUAACUAUUUUUUUAAUGUAUAUAAACACUAAUUCGAGCUUUUUCUGUUAGUCAAUCAAUAAUUACAGGGUGGAUGAGGUCAUUGAAUUACGUAACACUGAAUGACGUCUAAAUGGUAAUUUUGCGUGUUCUAGAGUUAACGGUAAAAGUUGCCAAAUGGAUUCAGCAUUAUAUCUGCAAUUCUUUGAAGCUUGUUGAGCAGGACGAAUCCAUAGAAGAAAUUACUACUGACAUCUUUAUUCCUUUAGCAUUGUCUUCAUCUUAAAUAAAUUUUCGGUGAUCUGAAUUUUGAGCUUCCUAUAUCUCAUAUCCAAGUCGACCGACCAAGUAAAAGAGUUGCUGGAAUUUCCACAUGCAUAUCCACCACCACCACCACCACCACCACCUAGUAUGGAUGAGAUAAUGUUUGAUCACUGAUCACCCAAGAAUUUAGAAGAUUCCUUAGUACUACGCUUAAGUUGUGUAGAUUCUACGUGUUGCGAGUCAUUGAAAUUAAAUCCAAUGUAAAUGUUUUAUUACAGUUUGUACGUAUAUAUAUUCACGGUUCAGGAAGGCCAAUGAAUUUGGUAAAUGAGUUGAAACUUUUUUUUUUUCAUGUGUUGUACAUCAUAAAAUGGGGGAAUCACUGGGCAGGUACGGUUAGAUUUAUUUAGGCGCAAUUCGUAUGAUCGUUGUAUUUUUUUUUCUUCGUGAUUUGGCGUAUAUUCACGUAACUUUAUUAUAUUUCUUGACAUCUAAUAAAAGUUAUAUAAGUAUACACUAAAUCAUAAAAUACAAUAAAAUUAUGUGAAUGUAUACCAAAUCAUGAAAAGAAGCACGACGACAAUCAGAUCAAUUACACCUAAGGCUAACUGUACGUGUUCCAUUCCCUGAAUUGUAUGUGAGUUAGUCCAUUCUUCUGGGGUUUUUGGCAAUCAUAUGAAAUCACGUUGGUUUCAAUCUACAAGUGAUGACGCAAAAUACUAGAACUAGUUUGUCGACUUAGCAUCUGGUUCAAAACAUCUAUAGCCCUUAAAUGAUCCAGUAUCGAAUUACAAGUAGUUAAUGGAAUUUGGAAUAUUUCAACAACCCAGAUCGGUCAAUAUAUUAUUUGCCUAGAUGAUUGGUAGAAGUACGUACGGCAAUGUUAGAUAAUGAAGAAAAUCUGGCUUGUGGGAUAAAUUAAUGUGUGAAUUGGAGGAUAUGGAUUCAAUUUUUGUGGGAUAUAUCAGUGCUAAACUAAUGAUUUUUUUCCGCUUCAUGAAAUCUGAGUCGACCAACCUUUUAGAUUAAUUAUUGCAAUUAUAUAUCUAAAUAAAUUAUCACCCGUAUCAGUGUUUUGUUACUUCAUUAAUACAGCGCGAAUCAGAUUCUGGUGCCUUGCUUUAAGUGCUGCUUAUUGUGCGUACGAGGACGUCAAAAGUUUAUCAAAUCAAAGAGGCAUCCAUUAACCAAAGCCAGAAUAUAAAGUAUGGUAUUAUACUGAGCUUUAAGGUUCGCCAAUAGUGCAGUAAUUAAACAACACUAAUCAUUGUUCUUAGACUAAAAUAUGGGAUUUUUCACACAACUUUUUCUUUUCUAGAUACGAUUGCGGCUAAGAAAGUCAUUCUUUCUUAAUUAAUGGAUGAGAAGAUCGCACCGCAUGCCCCAAUAAUCUCGCAAGUAUAAACUAUAUGUGUACUUGCUAUUUUCAGAUUAAAAUUAUCUGGGGGAAUGAUCUUGUGCAUAUGGAAGGCAAAUAAAUUACAGUGGCAUCAAGCCAUCAACUCCAGACAGCUUGAUCCACAUGUCUCAGUACUGGAAUCAUAACAGUGUGAAUUCACUCUGGUAAUUAGGGUUAUAAUUGAAGAUGAAGAAGUGUAACUUUCAUGCACAAAGGGAAUAUCCAGCGUCUUUAGCCGGAGAUGCCACCUCGUCGCAGGAAUUAAAUCUACGAGAUGCAAACUUAUCUGAUCGCCAUUCAUGAAGGUACCCAUCAUCAUGAAUCAUGAUCAGCUCAGUAUUUCCACGCACUUAAAGAGUUUUCUCUUGGGACAAAUCUUCAAUUUAAUAUUUAGAAACAGAUUGAUGCGAAUCCAAGCCUUACCGUCCUGGCUAAGUAUGCAGAGAAAAUUACAAUCUGUUGAUUCAUCGAUAUCCAAUGGUAUGUUUAGUAUGGUAUAUUCAAAGGGAAAAAAGCAAAGAGAUAAGAGAAUAAAAUGGAUUUGCUUUAUUCGUCGUCUUUGGAUUACCUUUGAACAAGAAAUUUGGGAAGAUCGAGACAAUAGAAAAUUAAGGUGUAACUUAAUUAACUGUCCAUAGCCUUAAAGCUUAGAUAAGUUUCAUGUCCAUCAGAGUAGAAGAAAACGCAAUGACUACAUACAAAGGGCAUUUGAAUGAGAUUUAACGGGUGACUUUACGCUGAAAAAGCUCAACCUAAAUGGAAACUCGAUUUGUUGGAUAGCUAAUUUAAGACCAAAAAAAACUAACCUAGCUAAACAUACUUGAUAACAAUUACUAUUUGUUAGACUUCUUAAAAAUCAAUUCAAACUUAAAACAGCCUGAGUUGGACUGUUAUUAGCUUGUCUACAAUUCAGAGGGAUGAGAGACUACUUUCGGCCAUAGUUCAGCUCAGAUUUGUUCAAAGCACGUAAAAAAUCUUAGAAGGGACAAACUACACAAUUUUAGGGUUUUAACAACGCAAAAAAAAAAAACACAGAUUGAAAAUUUUCUUUUCUUGGACAACAUUUUGGCAAGACCAAAAAUGUUUUGAGGCUAAUUAUGGGCAAGUAAGUCUUGAGCACAUGCAGCUAAUUAAUCAUUUUUUUAACUCUAAUGGUGAUUAUCUGAAAAUAUACCAUUCAGUUUGAGUAUAGUACAAACAAUGUUGACCCAAAGCGCUUUUGCUCCCUCGCUCUCAUUCAGGAUCCAUAACACGUCUAAAUCACAUCCCAAAGAAAUAGAAUUUGUUGAACUACAUCACGAAUUUGAUGACGCUAUUUAGCAGGAAGUUAUUGAGCCAAGCAAAAUUAAUUAAGCUCGCAUAUGCAUGAAUUUGUCGAUAAAUGUGAAACUUAUCAUCAAACAUUCUGAAAAAAGAACGUGCUACCCAGCCAGGAUGAACUUAUAAUGCGUCUAAAUCUAAUUUCCAUAAAUUAAGUAGAUGAAUAAAUAGAGUCGCAGUAUCUGAAUGUAAUCACGAAAUUUAUCCUCGUUGGACCUUUUUUUUCCCAUUUUUGAGGUGGUCGGGCUGGGAAGGUGGCGGAAGCGAGGGAACGAAAGAGAUUCAAAAUUAUAUCAAUAGCCUGCAUAUAUUACAGAUGCAGUACUUGUUACAAGUAGUUUUUGGUACUAUAUAUGGGUAGUUAUACAUACACUUGCCCGAGUACCUUUAAUUUUACAUCUUGCAAGCCUGGCAUAUUAUCAAUAUUAACCAGGAGGUACAAAGUACUGCCUUAAAACGAGCACUUUUAACAUAAGUUCAUACAAGAAGUAGCAUACGAUCAAGAUUCAAGAGUGUCAUCCUUAGGAUAACAGAUUAAUUAUAACGCAUACGAAAAGGUGGCCCCUGAUAAUCCAUCACCGGCAUGUAUUCGACAGACUUUGCAUAUGCCUCGUAUUGAUAGCCGCUCACAACAGUUGCUUCUGUUGCAAAGGUCUUGUUUACUCGCACAGUAUUGGAUUCCUGGGGCCGAUAAACAAGGUAUGAUUCUUGAGGUUGAGUUGCUUCUGUUGCAAAGGCCUUGUUUACUCGAACAGUAGUGGAUUCCUGGGGUUGAUGAACAAGGUAUGAUUCUUGAGGUUGGUAACGCUGGUAGCAAAUUUGAUGAGGAUGAUUUGCAUGGAAAGUGGUGGCUGCGUUGGCAGCUGCAGGAGCCCUUUGUGGUGGUGGAAGGACUUGACGACUCGGCCUGCGUCUCCAGCCGAAAUGUUCAUCAAUUAUAGCAAAGCCCUCCUCGCCAAUCUUAACAAGGUCUGGCUUGGAUGCCAUUGAAUCUCAAAGGCUACACUGAAGAGAAUAGUAUUACUUAGCAAAAAGUAGUUGUGUGUUUGAUUUCUGAUGCAGAGGUAGAGAGGCAGAGGCCUUUAUAUAGAGGCUUUUUUUUUUAGAUAGCAAGGGUCCCAAAGUGGGGGAAAAAGUCGAACCAUAUGAACAUGGCUGCUUCAUGGAAACGAGACAACUUCCCAUGCUAAGUUACAAACAUUUUUAUCACUUCUAACGUUUAUGCCCCCACAUUUUUGUCACUUUUGCUGCAGUGUCUCUCGUUUUUUCAAAUUUUUAAAAUUGUUUCUACAUCUUUUUUUUUUUUUUUUUUUCAUUAACUAACUAUGAUUAAUUAUGAUAACUAAUUAUAACGAGCUAUAUUGAAAAGACCACAGCUCGACAUAUAUAAAAUCCAUAAUCUUGCAUCUAAAAUAAAAUAAAUAAAACUAAAAUUUUUUGUCCCAAAAAACAACUUAAUUUUCAUGAGUUACUUUCUACAAACAAAACUUUUACCAUCAGUUUUACAACUUCGUUACAUUACCCACACAUUGGGGUAUCAUUAGCAAGCGGUUACUUUAAUGUAUACAUGAACUUGUUACAUUUUCUAGCCAUCACCUUGGUUCGAUUUUGGCAGAUUUAAUGAAAUGAUGAUGUUUUAUCCCCAAGAAAAAAAAAAAAAAAACCAUCACCUUGUUUCGAUUUUGGCAGCACAACCUCAUAGUGAGUGGGAAGAAAAAUCUGAGAAAAUUCCAACUUCCCAACAUGGGGCGAUUCCAGGAGACAAAGGCAUAAUAAAGCUAAUGGGAAAGGGGAAGGCACCUGGUGAUUUAAUUCAGGAGGGCUAUAUUAUUUCGUUUGAUCGGCAAGGGAAAGUGGUUUUAUACGGUCGUGGUCUUGGCGGUGGUCCGAGUCUUUCCUCUUUCGGUGGAAUAGAACAUGACAAGUGUGUAAUGGAUUGGAUGCCUUGGACUUCGGUCGAAGACUGGACGACUUCAAUUUUCAGUCCAUUUGUGUUAAUCUUUCAUCUAUGUACACAUUAUAAACUAAUUUUGAAAAAUGAUUAUAGACAAAAUUAGAAUAAUUUGAAACGACUCUUAAGUGGAUUCUUGAUUUUAACUUUUUAAUUAUUCAAAAUUAUUAAAAGAAAGAAAAGAAAGGAAUAAUCAGAUGAAUAGAGCUCCUAGUUAAGCCUGGUUGUUUGCUUGACCGCCACAAUUACUAGAAAGCAGAAUUAUUCUUCUGACUGAAACAAACAAAACAACUUCUAUAACAACUGAUCUUUCAUUGAUAUAACGAAAAUUCGGUCAAGGAAGAGAUAAUUCCUUUUUGCUUUUCUUUGGUUCUUUUCAUCUGACUAGGAUAGACCAAUCCAAAGUUCAUUCAAUCAAACUAUUUAGAAGCACAAUCUUACUUAUAGAAUCACAAAAGAAAAAAGAUUAAAAAAGAAGAAGAAAGUUUGCAAUUUGUUUCUGGCAAAAGCUUCGUUUGGAUUGUGAAAAAAGAUUAAAAAAGAAGAAGAAAGUUUGCAAUUUGUUUCUGGCAAAAGCUUCGUUUGGAUUGUGAUUUUUUGUAGAAAAAUAUUUACAUUUUUCGUGAAUAUAUUUUUUAAUCAUUUUGACUACCUUACAUACAUCAAAUUGCUACAGUAUAUAUUUUUUUACCAAAACUCCUAAAAUUCACUACGGUACAUCAAAUUUUUAACUGGAAAAUGUAACCAUACUCAAAAGUUUACCAAGCUAGUGUUGUACACAACAAAGGCUCUGUUUGAAUUCAGACUUUUUUGAAAAAUAAUUUUUUCAUCUACAAUGGUACAGUAAUAUACAAACAAAAAAUAACUCCAAAAACAUCAUAUCCAUACAAUAUAUCAAAAACAAUUUCAAAUAUACAAAAAAAUACACAACUACCCAUCAUUCUCCACCACCACGGCCACCACUCCACACCCACGACCCUCUCUCCUCUCUCUCUCCGCCCAUCUUUCCUCUCUCUCUCCUCCUCCUCCUCCAUUUUUUCUCCUCCUCUCUCUCCUUCUCCUUCCUCCUUUCUUCUUUCCCUUUUCCCGCCCCCCAAUUUCCUUCCCUUCGACUGACCGCAACCUUUCUAGUCACGAUCAAAUCUGAUCGCGACCAGAAGUCGUGACCAAGACGGUCGUGGUUAGAGUGGUGACUAAAGUCGUAAUCACCACCUGCGAGCGAGAGACGGGUUUGGGGUUGGGGGGAAUGAGGGGAGGGGGGAGAAAGGAGAAGGGAGAGGAAAGAGAGAGGAGGAGGGGAGGAGAGGAAGAGAAAGGAGAGAGGGGGAGGAAAAGGGAAGGGAUAGUGAUGGGUCGUGUAAAAUUUUAAAAAAAGUAUUCCAAAAAAAUUGUAAAUUAUAAAAAUACUUAAAAAUAUAUUUUAAAAAUAUCUCUAAAAACAAUUCAAAAACAUCUAAAGUAAAAGUUUUUUAUAUGCACAGCUAUAGUAAAAUUUUUGAAAAAUACUUCCAAAAACAGCUAAUCCCAACAGAGCCAGUAUUACGGUGAGUUGUUUUAAUCAGAAGAAAGACACCAGAUCUCUCUGCUUCUAUGAGUUGUUUUGAUCAGUUAGAUUUUGAAUCUAUUCUUCUCCCAUGUUAUAUCAUUCUUUAUGUUUAAGCAUUUCGUUUUCAUUGGUUUGGAUAGACAAAAAUCUGAUCAAGUGGUGAAAUUAAAUCAAAUGACGGGGACAGUGCAAAUUAAAUUACGAGAAUAGUGUAUACUCUUGACCACGUACCGUGCUAGAUCCAGCUCGAGCUCGCUUGGCCUUUCUGUAAAACCACUUUCUACAAUCAACCAUUACAUAAAAAGGUUACAACUUCAUAUGAAUUGUGAUUGAUACAAUGGUAUUUAGUUUUAUGUUGUACUUCUUUUUUCAUAAAUUGUGUUUGCUAUAGAGGUUUCUCGCAUUUGCUGCUCUUUUUUUUUUUUUUCUUGAUAUGCAUGCAUUUAGUUAGAAGAAACCACUUCAAGUUUCGGCAUAAAUUGUAAUGUCUAGAAUGAAAAUGUAAUGCCAUCACAGGUUGAAAUAUUCCGUCAUACAGCUAAUACAAAAAAAAAAAAUUUUUUUGGUCCUCUUCCUACAUUAAUGAAAAGCACUUGCAAAUUAGUAGAAAACGAUCGUUGAUGACUGUUACGAUCAUAGUUAUUAAACCCGAUCUGGCCCGGCGGUUCAACUAGUCAACCCAAUGAACCGGCCAUAGAACCAGGCCAAGUUGCUAAUUAGAUCGUUUGGACAGCAGAACCGUUAACUUUUUGACGAACCGGCGGUUCAACCGAUCAACUGGCCGAUUUUCUGAGGAACCCGGUUGCUACGCGGAAUUUUUUUUAGAAAAUAUUGCAUUGAUGGUUCAAACUUGAGACCUUCUUAGAAUGUAGUGCAAUCACCACUAGACUGUAUAAGAAUGUAGUGCAAUCACCACUAGACUAACAAUCCAUUUGUUAGUUGUUUGGUCCUUCUUAUAUUAUAUAUUAGACUUUUAUUCUGAUUUUAUUUCUUCAAAACAAAAUUUAUUUGGAAUCUUUUAAUAAAAUUUUAUUUAUUUCCCAAAUUCCACAAGGCAAAUUUUAAUAAAAUAACAUUAUCUAGUUUAUUUCCAUAAGUUAAAACUAAAAGUUUGUUAAAAAUAAUGAAAUUUCCAUAAAGCAAAUUUAAGUUUUGUUGAUUCUUAUAAAAAUUAAUGAUUCUAUAAUAAAUUAGACUAAUUGAACAUUUACUAAGACAUAGUUUAUUAUAAUUUCAACUAUAUAAAAAAUUAUAAGACAUAAUAUUUAAGUAUAUUUAGUGACCCACCGGUUGGACCACUCACCCACUGAUUGAACCAGUAACCCGUUGACUCACCUCUUUCACCGGAUUCCUCCCCGGGCCGGGUUUAAUAACUAUGGUUACGAUAACGAUAAGCAGAUUAAAUAAGCGAAUUCAUCAAUGCAAAAAAAAAAAAAAAAAAGAGGAAAAGACAAUUUCUUUCAUGCACUGGUCUAGGUAUUACUUCCAACAUUCAGAGUUCCAGCUCAAGAACUUCGGAAGGAUACCAGUAAAAUAUCAGAUGAAAAAAUUGAGCCGCGAACUUGUUUUAUAUAUAUAUAUAUAUAUAUAUAUAUAUAUAUAUAUAUAUGUAUAUAUAUUAAUUCUUUUGCCUGGGAGAGUGCUAUCAGGAGAUGAAAAUGUUAGCCAUAGACCGUUAAAAAGAAAAAGAAACAAAAAAAAGAAGUCAGCGAAAAAGAUGCAAGUAUAUUAUAUAGAGCAUUCUAAUAUUGCUUCCAAGCUCGACUUCUACAUACUUCUUCUACAAGCCUGGAAACUAUAAAAGACUAGCAGCCAUACAAGCUGUAAUUAUGUGCUUGCUUGCUUGCUAGUUGUUAAUUGCUACUACUGCUACAACACAGGAGAAACUUUCUGCAGCACUCUGCACUCUGCAGUGAUGCAUCCACAUAUUACAUAUACAAUAGGCCUGCACAUAUAAUGGAACUUAGUAAGCCAUAGCUUCUGAUUUCCUCUUGGAAUAAUCCAUAAUGAUCAUCCCAUCAUGCAACUUCAUAGCAUCAUAGCGGGUGACCUUCUCUUCACUAGAAACAGGGAUCAUCAUCUGAUAAAUUGGGGGUUUCUGAGGUUGAUAUGGGGGACAAACUGAUAUAUAUGGGUUGGCAGCUGCAGGAGCCCUUUGCGGUGGUGGUAGGACUUGACGACUCGGCCUGCGUCUCCGGCCGAAAUAUUCAUCAAUUAUAGCAAAGCCCUCCUCGCUAAUCUUAACAAGGUCUGGCUGGGAUGCCAUUGAAUCUCAAAGGCUACACUGAAGAGAAUAGUAUUACUUAGCAAAAAGUAGUUGUGUGUUUGAUUUCUGAUGCAGAGGUAGAGAGGCAGAGGCCUUUAUAUAGAGGCUUUUUUUUUUAAAGAUAGCAAGGGUCCCCAAGUGGGGGAAAAAGUCGAACCAUAUGAACAUGGCUGCUUCAUGGAAACGAGACAACUUCCCAUGCUAAGUUACAAACAUUUUUAUCACUUCUAACGUUUAUGCCCCCACAUUUUUAUCACUUUCGCUGCAGUGUCUCUCGUUUUUUCAAAAUUUUAAAAUUGUUUCUACAUCUUUUUUUUUUUUGGCAUUAACUAGCUAUGAUUAAUUAUGAUAACUAAUUAUAACGAGCUAUAUUGAAAAGACCACAGCCGGAUAUAUAUAAAAUCCAUAAUCUUACAUCUAAAAUAAAAUAAAUAAAACUAAAAUUUUUUGUCCAAAAAAACAACUUAAUUUUCAUGAGUUACUUUCUACAAACAAAACUUUUAUCAUCAGUUUUACAGCUGUGUUACAUUACCCCACACAUUGCGGUAUCAUUAGCAAGCGGUUACUUUAAUGUAUACAUGAACUUAUUACAUUUUCUAGCCAUCACCUUGGUUCGAUUUUGGCAGAUUUAAUGAAAUGGUGAUGUGAAAAAUCUGAGAAAAUUCCCACUUCCCAAUAUGUGGCGAUUCCGGGAGACAAAGGCAUAAAGCUAAUGUGAAAGGGGGAGGCACCUGGUGAUUUAAUUCCGGAUUGUUAUAUUAUUCCGUUUGAUCGGCAAGGGAAAGUGAUUUUAUACGGUCGUGGUCUUGGCGGUGGACUUGGUGGUCUGAGUCUUUCCUCUUUCGGUGGAAUAGAACAUGACAAGUGUCUAAUGGAUUGGAUGCCUUUUAGUUCCGUUGAAGACUGGACGACUUCAAAUUUUCAGUCCAUUUGUGUUAAUCUUUCAUCUAUGUACAGAUUAUAAACUAAUUUUGAAAAAUGAUUAUAGACGAAACCAGAAUAAUUUGAAACGACUCGUAAGUGGAUUCUAGAUUUUAACUUUUUAAUUAUUCAGAAUUAUUAAAAGAAAGAAAAGAAAAGAAAUAAUCAGAUGAAUAGAGCUCCUAGUUAAGCCUGGUUGUUUGCUUGGCAGCCACAAUUACUAGUAAGCAGAAUUAUUCUUCUGACUGAAACAAACACAACAACUGAUCUUUUAUUGAUAUAACGAAAAUUCGGUCAAGGAAGAGAUAAUUCCCUUUUGCUUUUCUUUGGUUCUUUUCAUCUGACUAGGAUAGACCAAUCCAAAGUUCAGUCAAUUAACCUAUUUAGAAGCGUAAUCUUACUUACAGAAUCACAAAAGAAAAAAGAUUAAAAAAGGAAGAAAGUCUGCAAUUUGUUUCUGGCAAAAAGCUUUGUUUGGAUUGUGAUUUUUUUGCAGAAAAAUAUUUACAUUUUUCAUGAACAUAUUUUUAAUCAUAUUUUUACCUCACAUAUAUCAAAUCGUUACAAUAUAUUUUUCCACCAAAACUCCUAAAAAUCGCAACAGUACAUCAAAUUUGUAACUGGAAAAUGCAACCAUACUCAAAAGUUUACCAAGCUAGUGUUGUAUGCAACAAAAGUAUUACGGUGAGUUGUUUUGAUCAGAAGAAAGACACCAGAUCUCUCUGCUUCUAUGAGUUGUUUUGAUCAGUUAGGUUUUGAAUCUAUUCUUCUCCCAUGUUAUAUGAUUCUUUAUGUUUAAGCAUUUCGUUUUCAUUGGUUUGGAUAGACAAAAAUCUGAUCAAGUGGUGAAAUUAAAUCAAAUGACGAGGAAAGUGCAAGCUAAAUUACGAGAAUAGUGUAUACUCUUGACCACGUACCGUGCUAGAUCCAGCUCGAGCUCGCUUGGCCUUUCUGUAAAACCACUUUCUACAAUCAAAAGGUUACAACUUCAUAUGAAUUGUGAUUGAUACAAUGGUUUUAUGUUGUACUUCUUUUUUCAUAAAUUGUGUUUGCUAUAGAGGUUUCACGCAUUUUGCUGCUCUUUUUUUUUUUUCUUGAUACGCGUGCAUUUAGUUAGAAGAAACCACUUCAAGUUUCGGCAUAAAUUGUAAUGUCUAGAAUGAAAAUGUAAUGCAUCACAGGUUGAAAUAUUCUGUCAUGCAGCAAAUACAAAAAAAAACCCCUUCCUACAAUAAUGAAAAACACUUGCAAAUUAGUAGAAAACGAUCAUUGAUGACUGUUACGAUAACUAUUAGCAGAUUAAAUAAGCGAAUUCAUCAAUGAAAAAAAAAAAAAAAAAAGAGGAAAAGACAAUUUCUUUCAUGCACUGGUCUAGGUAUUACUUCCAACUUUCAGAGUUCCAGCUCGAGAAGUUCGGAAGAAUACCAGUAAAAUAUCAGAUGAAGAAAUUGAGCCGCGGACUUGUUAUGCUUUCGAUAUAUAUAUCUUUUGCCUGCCAUAGACGGUAAAAAAGAAAAAGAAAAAAAAAGAAAUCAGCGAUAAAGAUGCAAGUAUAUUAAAUAGAGCAUUCUAAUAUUGCUUCAAAGCUCGACUUCUACAUAUUUCUUCUGCAAGCCUGGAAACUAUAAAAGACUAGCAGCCAUACAAGCUGUAAUUAUGUGCUUGCUUGCUAGUUGUUAAUUGCUACUACUGCUACAACACAGGAGAAACUUUCUGCAGUACUCUGCACUCUGCAGUGAUGUAUCCACAUAUUACAUAUACAAUAGGCCUGCACACAUAAUGGAACUUAGUAAGCCAUAGCUUCUGAUUUCCUCUUGGAAUAAUCCAUAAUGAUCAUCCCAUCAUGCAACUUCGUAGCAUCAUAGCGGGUGACCUUCUCUUCACUAGAAACAGGGUUCAUCAUCUGAUAAAUUAGGGGUUUCUGAGGUUGAUAUGGGGGACAAACUGAUAUAUAUGGACGAGCCGCGGCAGGACCAGCAGGAGCCUUCUGCCUCGGUGCAGCAGCUGCCCUUUUUUUUCCUCCAUAUUCUUCCUCUUCCAGCAUCUGAAAGCCUUCGUAGCCUAUCUUAAGAAGCUUUGAUCGGUUGUCCAUCUUGUAGUUACUGGCCAUUUCUAAGCAAGAAGUGAGGAAAAGUGGGGAGGCUAGCUUCUGAUGAAACUGGGUUUGAGGUCUUCUUUUGUUGUGUAUGGAAAGGUUAGUUUGAGUUGGUGGUUUGGUGUAAAAGGCCGUGAGCAAUGAGCCCUUUAUAUAGGGAGGAUUUUUACUAAGAUAUAGCUAGGAUAAGGCUGGAAUGGAAAUCAGAUAUUUGCAUAGGAAAAAAAAAUAAAAGAAAAGAAGAAUCUUCAUGGGGUCUUAGUUUUCCCAACUUGUGUUGAUUCCCUUUCAGAUGUGCAUGGGACCAGUUUACAGGGAAAGGUAGGGGUUUUGGAGAUUCUUGAACGAUGAAGUUGAGUUUCCUUCCUUGUUAAGAGGGAAUAAAAAUACUAUGCUACUGCGUGUUCUUAUUAGUUAUGUAUUAUAACUGAAUUAGUGCAGCAUCCAAAUUAUCGAGGGAACACUGAGAACGUGGGUUGUUG
rnacentral:lncRNA from 1 species